UCAAAACAAUGUUGGUAAAAUUACACUUGAAAAAUCACAAGAAAGAGUGAACUUUGAUUCUUAAAAAGGUAACAAUUAAAAUUUGGUAUGUUACGCAUGCCGGUUCCGCACGUAAUGCCUCGAACAAAUAAAUUACACCACCACAAGGUACCGCGUUUGACUUCAAUUGAAGCCGAGCGCUUUUGCGUGUUUUCUGACAAUGCGCAAUUUCAGCAUUUGGUUUACCACUUGCCUCAUGCUAGGGCGAUCACGGGGUGAGUUCUCAACACAUUGCAUUGUUAACCUCGUGAUCUUAGGUCCGUCCUUUGAAUAGAAUCCCGGGUCCGCUUCCAGGCUUGCAUGCACCAAGGAGCAUUUCGUCUUGUCAUCUGACCCUGCGAUUUUCUCCUCAUACAUCUUAACCCAAUCAUCAAGAAAAGGUCCUUCCGGGUGCUUAUAGGGCCUCUUCGUAAUCAAAUUAAGUAGAACAACACCAAACGCAAGCACAUCGCUUUCUGUUGACCAGCCUGUCAAAGGAAAAGCUUGAGGUUAACUCGCAGAAAAAUGAAACCAAGGCAUUCACAAGCGAAACCUUUUUAAAAUGAUCGACAAUCUCUCGUCAUAGGCCAUUCAACCGAAACAAGACAACAGUGUGCCUGAGGCCAAUAUUCGAACAAGGAGCUCCUUUUAUGAUGUCACGACUCCCAACAUCAUCACUGGACAACCUACUUGAAUGUCAAUUGUUCUCCCAUAUCUUUUCACUGUCAAUUGUUCUCCCAUAUCUUUUCACUUCGAGGAAAGUGGCUGAGCGAAUAAUUUCCGAGGAAGUGACCCUCUGAAAACUUUGAUAGAGUCUGAGCAUGAUUCAGGCGGAACAUUAGUGAGACUGGUGCCUAACAAGGAAGUGACACGUUUAGUACAUCUCCACCCCAAAGACCUCCCCAAAAAUGUUUUCCCGGAUAUAUCUGCGAGUACUAACUUAACUUUAUGCUUUCCUAUUGAAAUAAAUACUUAAUAAUGGGACCAUAACAUUAGACAUUGUUCUUCUAUUUCGAUCAUACCAAAAAGUUACGGUGUACCAGUUAGAUAGAACUUGGAACUUUAACUAUUGAUGCAUAUAUUUAACCUUGGGGGUACUUUACGUAACCUGCUUGCUUCCUAAUGCCGCAAUGUGACAUGGAUGAACAUAAGUCUACUACGACGCUCUGGACAUGAAUAUAGAAAAAUGUCACCAGUCCCAGUCUUCCCUGUCAAACCAUUUCACAAAAAGAGUAUCUCGAUGAAGUGCUUCAAGAAUCCAUUCAGUAAUUGGGGAUUCUAGGGUAUAGUAGGAUUUUAUAUGCUAACUUUCAGACAUCGACUUAAUGGAACUCCAUAUGGAUCUUGUGCAGAAACACAAAAGGCCAGAGGUUCAGGAAAUGCUCAGAGUUUUUGUGGAUCUAGUAGAAUAACUUCAGCAGUUGAAGUGAUGAGACAUGCCGCUGCUAGCAACAUCAUUAGGAGCUUCAAAGUCAUUUAUCUAGGACAUUUCAUAAGCUCAAUUAUAGGAAUGUCCAGCCAUAUCUUAAUUUUAUCCAUCAUAGUCGUGUAUAUGUUGGAAAAACGAAUAACUUGCAGCCCGGUAUCAGUCUGCCUAACAAAGGCAUGUUGAGUGAAGGAGAUGCGGUCAAAGAGGGGUCAGUUCCCCCAAGGUUAGGAGGAACAUCUCCUUAAUUUUAUCAAGAUGGCAAUGAAGGUGGACAUCAUAACGGUCUAUCAGGCCUACGUGCAUUUCAAUUCCUUUAUGAGUGAGGUCUGUAUACCUAAGUAUCUCCUCAAAUUAAGCAGAGUAUCAUUUCCGGAGAGUAAUCGAUCAUUCAAUGUGGUUUGUUAAACAUAGAAAAAAUCAGACUUAGGCAUAAUUACUUACGAAGACACUGUAUAGGUGAUGAUGAGAAAAUCGGUGCAUGAGACCUAAAAACUCUUCUUUUAAAUGUCGACUUCAGCUCUAAAGUUGGCUCUUCUAAAAACAGGCCCCCUCUUUCUGCAAAACCUUAUUCAGGACCUCAUCCAUCUAUUAUAGAAUCGGAGCUUGGUAUUUGCUGUCCCUGCUCUAUUGCAGCUGCUCUCACUUUAAUUGGUUAAAUACUCAUACCAAGUCCUGAUGACUCGCCUCGUAGAUCAUAUCUUUGUUCUCCUAGAUCACCAAUCGGCGAGCUGUCUUGCAAUUGAGAACAAUAGGAAAGAGACAGCAUAGAUGGAUAUGACCUGUUUGCGAAAUGCACCCUUGACACUACCUACUUUACUCUAUUGGUCCGUUGCAAGACAGAUUACUCAUCAUUGGAGACUCAACUGUUCCACAAACAAAGUGAAGCUUCAUAACAAGGCGAUGAUGGGAGGAGUGAGCAUAAAUUGGAUUCUAGAUGGAGCCUGGACUUCUAUGGAGUAUUCAAUCUGAGAAUUUAGUCAUGGAGUUACUGAGAAAAACAUCGGGAAAAACUCACCGAGGGAAUGAGCACACUCCUAAAAUUAUUAAUUGUUAUAUUCACUUUACAAGUUUAUACUAAGCUAAACAACCAUGAAAAUGAGAAGAACCUAAAAUAAUGCUAUAUUGCUUUUAGAAGCUUAUAAUUUAUAGAAUCACUUCAUGCUCAUUUCUCCCUAAAAUAUGAUGAUUUCCCUUAUAAGUCAGUCUGCUGGGGCUGGAUAUUGCAAGUUGGGUAUACUCUCUCGAGAAGAUAGUGGAAACAACAAACAAAUCUAAGGUUAUCAGGAUUUUACAAGUGGGGGGUUAGAUACAUACUUACAUAUUGCUGACGUUCAUUUCAUUAAGUAGGAUCAGACUCUCACAUUGGCCUAACAAAUCAAUAUCCUACUAGAUCUGAGUUAUACGUUAAAUUUUGGAUAACAAGAUCCUAAUUGGGAUAUUAAUGACCAAGCACAAUGGCAGCAAAAAUAAACACGUAGAGUUGAAACUAGAUACCUUCAGGAUGGAAUUCAUUAUAGCCGAAAAAUCUGUGAAGAUUUAAAAGCCUCUUGUAUUGUGGCAGAGGAAGAAUUCCACCAGUAAACAUUCCAAACUCAUACCAUAUUGGGUUGUAUUCCUGGAUAAUGAAGGCACCAAAAACAUUAUGGAAUCUCCACAGACCACAAAAAGAAGCAGAAGUUCUUUUGACAGACCUUGUCAACCAUUAUAUGACUUGGAUGGAUAUUGCGGACUGCAUAAGGUAGAUCCCGUCCAUCCGUGGAGUGAAGAAAUUCAAGGAGACAACCAAAUCCAAGAGCAACCUUAAUUCUCCGCAUCCAUGUAAAGCUAUCUGCAUUGCAGUUUUAACAUGUUAAAGGGUUACAUCUCCCACAAGCUUAAAUUGUCAAGGAACAGGCCAACAUGCCUGUCAGAAUCAGAAAAAAGAUUGUUGUUGUCAAACUUUUUUGCUGCAGACUAGCUAAGGUUCUGCAUGGUAAAGAAAUUUUGGACACGCUAUUGCAAGGCAAAAAACACAUUGCAUCAGUUUCGGAGGUGUCCAUGGCCUCUAUUUGAACCUGGUCCUUUUCUGUUCCAAUUUGAACCCUAGACAGAUUUUAGUGCAAGGGACCACCACAAUGGCAUACUGUUAGAUCAAAGAAGAAAAAAAUUGUACCAUCUUUCAGUAAGUUUUGAGCAGUAUCCAAGGAAUCAAGAUCAUACACCACGCCGAGGUUCUCAUCUUCACAACAGUAGCCUACCAACUUCACCAUACUAGGAUGUAGGAUGAACUCCGGAUGCCGAAGUAAAGUUAGCUCAUCCUGAAGACCAUUACAGAGUUAACUGAGGCAUAUUAAAGGCAUUGAAUUCUGAUGGAUGAACGAUUUCACUCAUAGCAUACCGUCAAUUCUCCCACUCCGGGGGGAUAAAGAUAUAUCCCUGACUCCUCCAGUAUUUUCACCGUCACUGCUCGCGAUUCAAUCUUUCCACGAUACAUUUUGCCAAACUGAUAGUUCCCGAUAAAAUUCUCCACAGAAAACUCAUCAGUGAACUGGCUAAGGUCUUCAUAUGAAAACACUUGCAUCUUACCAUGCCGUUUUGCUGAAAAGUUUCCAUAGAUGGUUUGUUAAAAACAUGAAAUCAACGAACAUUUCCACAACACUAAAACUUCAUACAACAGAUACGACUGCAAUCUCCUUUUAAGACUGUUCAUGGUUAGCAAAAGGCGCGCACUAUCGGCGUCCAUGAAAGAAGGCUUUCAUUCUUAUUCAUUUGCGUUGCCAGUAAAAAAAAAGUGAAAGGGGUACAAUAUGUCAUUAUGCCCACACAAUGGAGAAAGACCAACAAGGUUUUGCUUUGAUAAACAACAGAACAUUCCUUCUGAUUGCGACAUGGUCACCACAGCAUGGCCAGAUAACCCGUCCCCCCAUAGUGGAUACGCAAUUUGAUUCAUGCGGUAUACUUCUACAAAAUAAUCAGUAAAACAACAUAAAAGAGAAAUUAUGGGAAAGGGAUUCAAUACAUGCCUGUGUUUUUUCUAUGCACUUUUUUUAAGAAAUGCAGGUUGAUGUGCAAUCACAUCAGUCACUGCCACCACGUUCAUCAGGAUAUUCUUCUUAACGUUUAUCUUAGUUAAAUGUCAAUACACCACCUGACCUAUUUCUCAUCAGUUUUUGCUCUCGAUUUUGCUUAAAUUGAGAAACUACCGUCCUCUGUUCCUCAAUAUGAAGAAGAAGAAGAAGAAGAAGAAGAAGAAGAAGAAGAAGAACCAUCUUACCUGCUUCAAUCAGAAUCGUCCUUUUAUUAGCUAUGCUUGGACAAGGAAGGAAUGGGACGGUUCUUCUGAUGCCACCAAAAUGGUACCAGCUCGAGAGAUGAGAAUAGAGAUCUUUGAUAAUCCAUUUCUUAAAAUCUAUCAAUCCAAAUCAAACCAACUCUUACCAUAGAUAUCAAUUUGGAGUAAUAGAGAAAACAUAAAAAAUACCAGUCCAUUUUUUGCAUUCUGUCCCAUUGCAGAUUAUAUUCCUGAAUUAUUUAGAGCAAUGAGAAGACACUGAGCACUUGCUUACCACCAGUUAUAUUGCACCCGAUUCCCUUACUUGACGUCUCCUCUUAAGUUAAAUUUUCAAAGUACCUCUUAAAUAAUGACGUUGUCCCUAUUCAGUCAAGCCACCACGCCUAUCUAACCCAAGUAACUAAGAUGUAAACCCAAUAAAGAGGCCUGGACAAGCACAAAAUACAGCUCCCAAAGCGAGGGAGAAACCGCCUUUCUAGCCUUAUUGGUUAUUACUUUUCCAUGUAAUUCAUUUGGCUUCCAAAAAGACACUUGGCAGAAAGGACCAACAAUAUGGAGGCACAGAAAGCAAGAGAAACCCCAUGUGCCGGAUUACUAUUGCAUCUAUCGAGUCAAAAGUAUUAAAUGCUCAUGAAGCAUGCACAACAAAUUUACAAUGAGAAAAUAAGCAAGGAAUUUUAAACUAUUGACUGUGCACUCGCUAGAUCAACUCCUCAAAAUGAGUAGCAUCAGUACAGUAAAUAAAGCUCCUUUGUAGAGAAGUCAAGAUAUGAAUACGUCGAAACUUGUUACCACAGCAUAGAAUAUUGUACUCCAAGACAUACCAGUAGAGGAGUUCAUGGAGAUUGCUAUAGUUUAGCUUAUGUGCAUCCACAUAUUCUCCAACCACUCAUCAAAACUAGCAGCAUCAAUCCAUAGAAAAAAAAGAAAGUAGAAUAACAAAACAUCCCUCUCAAAAAGGACUUGAAACAAUCAACAGAUGAACCCGAUGUACCAAAAAAAAUAAAAAAUGAAGAAUUCCUGAUUACCUUGAAACUUAUCCUUCAGUGGAUUGGGCAGAGCAACUUCCAUAAACAGUUCGUGAUCAAAACCCACAGCCUCUUUAUCAUGCUGAACAAUAUGCAGCUUCAGCAAACAGCUAACAACUUGCUUCAUUGAUGGGCGGCGAUUGGGGUUACGUUUGAUACAUUGCAUGGCCAGCUUCGUAAUCUUUAAACCGUCUUCAAACUUGAACAACAGAUUUUCUUUGAGGCUUUCAUCCACAAGAGACGAUCUAGAGCCCUUGGCUCGCUUUGACCGCUUGUACUCAUUUUCGGCCCAUUCAUAAACACAAGGCGCAGGAGCAGGACUUAAUCUGUCCUCCUCUGUACAGACUCUUUUGCAGAUCAAACCCAACAAUACAACUCCAUACGCAAAGACAUCAGAUUUGUGAGACCAUUUGCCUGUUUCGAAAAGUAUUAGGGAUAAGCAAUCAAGAGAUGAUCAGAAAGGUGAAUCAGAUAAAAUUACUCCAUUGUGGAGAAAGAGUUAGAAACUAUAUGAAGGGUACAGGUUUCUCAGAUCAUGUCAUUGAAGUACCAUAUGGUUAUUUGGUUGCAAUUAGAGAGCAAGCACCCUAAUAUACUAGCCCACAUUGCAAAUAAAACAUCAAAGAAAUUGUCAUGAGUAUGCUGAAACUGAUGUUCUGAUUGAAAUAUUACUGUCAUGUGGAAUUGAAGAGCUUAUUUUAUUUGAUGAAUUAGAAAUCAUACACUACAAACUGUUAGUGCACCAUAAUAAAGGAUGAGCAUUUCAAAUCAUGAAUGGUUCGGGAAAUUAGUCGUGUGCAUUUUGGUCUCUGUUAAACAAUGACCAACAAUGACAAAUGAUCAGUCAAUAUUAACAUACGCGAAGAGCUCAGGUGAGCUAAACACGAAGCUGGUUUUGGAGGGACACAGCUCUUGUUUGGCUGAUGGACAUCUAAUUCACAUGCCACCGGUUAUACUAAAUGCGAUUAAGUAUCUCUGAAAUCAUUUCAAGAAAACUUCUGAGGGAACUGAGUCCAAACCCCUCUUGGCAUAUACACAAGUUUCAUAGCAACGAGCUAGUCUAACUUGGAAUUGAUAACCUUUUUCAUCGAGAUCUAGAUUCAUUAAAAACAUUGCAAAGUAGUAUGGACAUUGCUAGCAAGAGCAACCUCCUGUGCUAUGUUCUGUCGAAAGCUUCUCAAAAUAUAGUCAUCCAAAAUUGCCUGGGUUCAUGUAGUAUGGUCAAUAUAAUCAAUCACACUCGAUUUCCGCAGCUCUGAUCUCUCAUAGAAUCAAUCACACUCGAAUUACCAAUGAAUAGGUAAAAGCUCAAAUCCAAACAACUAGACAUGCUAUCUCCCAUAUGUUUAACAAAAACUGAGUGAACAAUUUGUGCAUGUGUUGCAGAUAUAACUCUUUAUAGAUAUCACUUCAGCAUAACCUAAGACCAGUAUCAGGAAACGUGGGGAAACAGGGUUAUUAGCAGGAACCCGAGGUGUUAAUCCUUUGACAAAGCCAAAAAAAAGGCAGACGAUAUAGAUGAGAGAUACCAUGAUUAUCAAAACUUGGAUCCAUGUAUCCAUGACAGCCUUUAGAAUCUUCAUCUAUGAGGAAUGACCUAUCGGUGAAAUAUCCACCUGAAAGCAUGCUGAAGUCAUAUAACACUGCAUUGUAAUCCUGCAAAACCCCCCGAAAGAAAAGGUAUGCCAUGAAAAUUAUUUAAGAUAAAUGGCCAAAAAGCCAACAAGACGUUCUUUCAUUAAAAGGACAAACCUGGUCAAUCAUUACAUGGGCAGCAUCCAAAUUACGAACCAGCAAAGGUAGGUCAAAAGAAUGAAGGAACGCAAGAAAGUUAGCGAGUCCUAAAGCAGCUCUGAUCCUCUGGUGCCAAGCAAAGCUAACUACAAAUAGCCGGAAAAUGAUCAUCGUCUAUGUUAAACAUAAGGACAAUCAUGGACAAUCUGCAAGGGAAAUUCAGCACAAAGGGGAAGAAAUCUUGAUUUUGCCAAUUGCUCCUAUAGAUAACACUAUGUCAACACUAGUAUUGAAUCACAAUAAGCAUAGAUGAUUGACCGCGUGGGCAAGGAAGGAGUUAUUUGCUCAGUGACACGUCUAAUUAUGUAUUGAAUGAAGUACCACCUUUGGUGACAAGAUUGUGGAGUGUGUCCAGAGGAUUCAGGUCGUAAACACAAGCAAAAUAUCCUUCCAAAUAAGUGUAACAAAGGCACUUGACUAUGUUUGGGUGAAGAUCAUGCAGUCCCGACUCAGUCAACCACUUGUGCAUAUAAGAUUCUUCCCGGAAGCUGCGUGCAACUGCCCCUGGUCUGAUCAGAGAUUUGUCCUCCGAUAUCUUCACCGUGACCUUCUUUCCCUCAUAAUCUCCUCGGUAGACUUUGCCUAAUUGGAAACUGCCGAUGUAGUUUUCUUCACUAAAGCCGUUUGUAAUCUCUUCAAUAAGACUAUAAGGACAAGUCGUCCAGUGAUCGGGAAACAUACCUGAAAAAUAUUCACCACACAAUUUUCAACAACAGAAAAGGCAUCGAUUUUGUUUUUUCUCUCCUUUUCCUUGUUUGGCAGUAAGUAUACAAAGGGUAGAGAAACCAGAAAUCUCACUCGGGAGUUUGAUAAGACUUUGCUCUUCGGGCACUUGAAGAGUGUGUAACACAUAUGAUUAACGUCCGGAGCAGAGCUUCUGCUCUAUCACAAGGAGGAUGGGGCAACUCCAACCAAGUUGUUGCAAGGGCAAGAAAGGAACAGUACUGUUAGCUGCUAUAGCAGAGAUAAGGUCAGAAUUCAUAAAUGUAGAUUUUGGUGAAUCUCUAGCCAAAGGAAAGAGGAGGACGAGAAUGACAAUAGAAUGCGGAAACUUCAACAAUGCAAUCCAAAAAGAUAUCGGUUGGCGACAAUCCCAUCAUAGGACAACCUCGUAUACUUUUAAACUAGGAAACUUAUCGUUAUUAUCACUAUGAUAUUGUUAUUGAAAUCUAAGUUUAAAUUUCCUAAAAAGGUGAGAUAAGAUUUUCCUACGGUGUCUUUUUUUGACUGGAUAGAAUAAAUGGAAAGUUUAUUACUAAAAAUAAAUUGAGUGCAAGAUAUAUAUUCAAUUCGAAACUUUAUCAUCAUCUCGAGUUUGACGUGAUAUGUGGCAUGAUAUAAGAUAUGCUUUGUUCGAUUUAGUACUCGAUACUAAUUUGAUUCGACCUUUUAGUAUUUGUAACUAUUUAGGGAGUACCAUAAAAAGGCAAGAAUGAAAUAUACAUAAUAGAUUUCUAAGUGCUUAUAGUUAAAUAAAUGCUUGCAGAUUCAGAAUUGUUACUGAAUCAGACUAUUUGUAUACAUAUUACAUCUAUACAAUAUAUGUUUCUAUACAUGUGUUAGAAUCGUGAAUAUUUUGUAGCUAUAUAUAAGGAAAGAAACUGAUUAGGGUUUCGUAGCUUGUACAGGCAUGUAAAGGAAGAAACAUAAUUAGGGUUUCGUAAAACGAAGGAAUGGUGGAGAAUCUCGGCUGCUAAUGGGGUCAGGAACUCAAACCCUAUUAUUCCAAUGAAAGCAAUAAUAGAUCCUCAAACCGCAAAGCACAUAAAUUCACACAAACCAUGUAACUUCUUAGCUCCCGCAUAGGAACAACUCUUCAGAUUCGAAGACCCAAAGAACAAAGAACUUGAUGUCUCAAUUCAUUGGCGUCCAAUUCAGACGCGGCAUCUCAAGAAAGGAAACAAUGGUCCGAUGCCAAAGUAACUAAUUGAAGCAAGCAAAGCGUCUGGAAUGUGGGAUGGAUGGACCCAAGAGAAAAAAAAAUCUCUAAGUAAUCAGCAUUGCAAAUUUGUGGAGAGAAGUGUGAUUACUAGUUCUCCUGUUUGUAAAAUUCGAUUCGAAAGAUGAAAUGAUGGUCCCCCAUUUUCAUGUCUAUGUGUAUCGAUGGAAGAUUUUUCUACUUUACCUUGAAUGAAAACUGUUGUAAUUUAAGCCUGAAUAAUCAAAUUUAAAUCGAAGACUUGACCAUUGAGUUAAUCUCUUUGAGAAAUGCCCCUCCCUUAAUUUUCAAACUGCUACUGAACCUUGCUAUUAGAUGCUUAAUGGGAAAAAAAGAAAAAAGAAAAAAGAAAAAAGAAAAAAACUUGUGUUAAUAGAUCACUUGACAGGGAUUAUUAUCUAAUAGUAACUGCGACGAAACAGACCAUUUAGGCUUGAUAUAUCCUCCUUCUUUAGUUAUCAAAUUAUGCUUAUAAUGAAAAAAAAUUUGCAGAGAUGAUAAGAAGUAGCUCUUUACUUCAAAAUAGGAUAAAAAAGUCAGUAAAAACAAACCCAUUUCCUCAAGCCCAAAAGCCCAUGUACUCACCUUAGUUAGUCCACAGUUACCAUCAGUUCACAAUAACACCUCAAUUGGCCCAACUACUUUUGAUUUUUUUGGUAUUGAAAUUGGCCCAACUAAUUUACCCUCAAUUCCCCGAACAAAUAAUAAUAAUAAUAAUAAUAAUAAUAAUAAUAAUAAUAAUAAUAAUAAUAAUAAUAAAUGCUCGACAUGGAAAAACCCUACAAACUUAACAAAGAUAUAUUACCAAACUAGCCUCACAGUGAAAAUUUAAUUUUCGAAAGAAAUGCCAAUGUUGGAUGAAAGAAGUAACAGUCAAUCGUUUACAUAUUUUUACCAUACGAUAUUUUAUAGUAUACAACUUCUUGUCAUUAUAUAUUUCUGUUGAUUAAUUACACCUUUGUCAAGUAAAGAGACAAAUUGCACAAUGCAAAUUCGGAAAUAUAUACCUAUUGGUGACAUAUUAUCAAAACGAGGCUCUAUAUUUCCUUCUAUAUCCAACCGGUUCUUGGGCUCGAAAAUGCUUCUUUGAGUUUUUGAACAAUUGCUGUCUUGGGAUGCAAGAAGUUAUUGCGUUGAUUUAGUAUUACGUACCAAACUGAUUUCAAUUUUUAAAUAUAGGUUUAAACACAGAAACACAAACAUCAGAUCCACCAAUUGCCAAUCAAAACAAUCACAAUGUUAGUAUAACUACACACGAGAGAAAUCAGGGGAAAGAUUGAGCUUUGAACCAUUCGAACUAGUGAGUAAUAAAUAAAAUUAGGUGUGGUGCGCAUGCCAAUUCCGCACAUAAUGCCUUAGACGAAUACAUUACACCACCCCAGUGUACCGCAUUCAACUUCAAUUGCAAUUGAAGCUGAGCGCUUUUGCGUGCUUUUUAACAAUGCGUUGUUUCAUCGUUCGGUUUCACCACUCGCCUCAUGCUAGGGUGAUCACAAGGUGAGCUCUCGAUACAUUGUAUCUCUGACCUUGUGAUGUUAGGUCCAUUCGAAUAGAAUCCCGAGUUCGCUUCUAGGCUGGCGUGCACCAAGGAGCAUUUCAUCUUGUCAUUUGACCCCGCGAUUUCUCCUAAUACUCCUUGGCCCAGUCAUCAGGACAAUGUCCGUGUGAGUACUUAAAGGGCCUCACCGUAAUCAAAUUAAGGAGAACAGCCCCAUAUGCAAGCACAUCGCUUUCUAUCAAAGACUUGCGGUUAGCUCAAAAGGAUCGACAAUCUCUCAUCACAGGCCAUUCAACUGAAAGAAGCCAAUAGUGUGCCCGAGGCCAAUAUUUGAAUGAGACUCCUCGUAACAAGAGCUCCAUUUUUACAGUGGUACCACUCUAAAGUCAACAUAGGACAACCGACUUGAAUGUCAGUUGUACUCCCAAAUCUUGUUGAUACGAGGAAAGCGCCUGAACCAACUGAAAACUUUGAUAGAGUCUAAACAGGAUUCAGGUAGCACCUCACAUCGGUGUCAACCAAGGUAGUGCCAUUUAGUACAUCUUCACCUCAAAAGACCUCCCCAAACAUAUUUCCUAGGACAAAUCCACGAGUAGUAACUUAACAGUAUGCUUUACUGUUGAUAAAAGAAAAUUUACUACAAGACCAUAAGAUUAGACAUUGUUCUUCUGAUUUGAUCAUACCGAAAAGCUAGAUACACUGUACCGAUUGGAUAUAAUUUGAACCUGAACCGUUAAUACAUAUACCUAAACCCAGGUACUUAUUUGCUUGCUUUCUGAUACUGCAAUGGGACUCUGAUGAACAUUAGUUUACUUUGAUAAGCGUACAAUAACUCGAGAUUCAAGGCUGUAGUUAAGAUAUUAUAUCUAACUUCCAGACUUCAGCUUCGUGGAACUGAAGAUGAAUCUUGUCCAGAAACACAAAAGGCCAAAGGUACAAUAAAUGCUUAUAGUUUAUGAUGAUCUAAAAGAAUGAGCACAUUUACAGCAAAGUGAUGAGAUAUGCCGCUAGUGGCAACAGGGGUAAAAGAUUCAAAGGCAUUUACCCAGGACAUUUCACAAGCUCAAAUACAAGAAUGUCCACAUGUAAGAAUCUUAAUGUGAUUAAUCUUAGUGGUAUAUAUAUACUAAAAAACAGAAUCCCCAGCUGUGAAUUUCCUGACUCAGUGAAUGGUAACAUAUAACCUUGCAAUCCAGCAUCAGUCUGCUUAUAGCAAAGGUCUCAUGAGUAAAGGAGAUGUGGUCAAACCAAAUUCAAUUCCCCCAAGGUUAGGAUGAUAUCUCCUUAAUUUGAUCAAAGUGCAUAUUGAAAUGGUCUAUAAGGCCUAGAUGCAUUUUCCUUUUAACAUUCAAAAUUUCGAAUCCUGUAUAAAUGCUGUCUGCAUACUCACUAUCUCUUUAAAUAUAGCCAAGCAUAAUUUCUCGAGACUUAAUUAAGCACUUAAUGUGGUUCCAUAAUCGGAAAAAGAAAAAACUUAGACUUCGGCUUGAUUACUUACCAAGACACCGUAUGGUUGAUGCCGAGAAAAUCAGGGAAUGAGACCUAAAAAAUUUUCUUUUAGAUGUUGCUUCAGCUCUAAAUUCCACUAUUCUAGAAACAAACCCCUCUUUCUGCGAUGCCUUACUCAGUACCCCCAUCGAUCUAUUAGAGAAACGUUGAUAGAAAAGGCAGAUCCAUGGCGAAUCAAAUGGACAACACUUCCGGGUCUGCGUCUAUGCGAACAAACAAAGGCCAAGUCUAAAAAUUCGAGCUUCACCAGAUCUGAGCUUGCGAAAAUGUAAAAAAGCGAAACUUGUCCAUACCUGCAAAACCAGGUCGAUACUGGGGAAUACGGUCGUGAAGCUUUGACUGAAGGCAGCCUGCCUCUUAGUAUGGAUGGUCACGGACCAGGUUUCAUCAUCAUCUGCUUGGACCUAUAACCGCAAAACCAGGUCACGAAACUUUGAUUGAAAAGGCAGAUCCAUGGCAAAUCAAACAGACACCACCUCCGAGUCUGCGGCUACAUGAACAAACGAAGGCCAAGUCUAAAAAUUCGAGCUUGAUCAGAUCUGAGAUUGCGAAGAUGUUAAAAAGCGAAAGUUGUUCAUACCUACAAAAGAACCGAGUCUAUGGAGGGGGAGAGAGAGAGACUUUUGGCAACAGAGUCGACCCAGGAGAAGGAGAAGGAGAAGGAGAAGGAGAUGGAGAUGGAGAUGGAGAUGGAGAUGGAGAGAGAGAGACCGAUGCAGGCGGAGGGAGAGCUGCAUCGAAGAGAGAUGGAGAGAGAGAGACCGAUGCAGGCGGAGAGAGAGAUGCAUCGGAGAGAGGGCUUGGAGAGAGAAAGGUUAACCCUACACGUCUACCGAAUAUUACAAAAACAGACAAAAUCUUCCACUUCCCACUAUUCAUCGUAAAAAUCUAUCGAUGGAUCGGCUCUAGCCCAAAAUGGAAAUGCGUUAUUGGGCUCGCGCAAAUUUGAUAUAGACAAAAUCUACCACUCCCAUUAUUCAUCCUAAAAUCCAUCGUAAGCUUAGAUGGGUCGGCUCUAGCCCCAAAUUGGAAAUGCCUUAUUGGGCUCACAUGAUAGUUAUAUAAGGAUUUGCUAUAUACAUAGGCCCUGUUUGAAGCAUUUGAAAUGCUCUUUGAGGCUUUAAAGGGGUUUGACCAUAUGGUAUGGCGUUUGGUUCAAGUUUUUGGGGACUUUGGGGGAGAUGCAAUUGCAUCUCCAAAGGGCUUCAAAGGGCUUCGGGGGAAUGGAGGGGUUGAGGUCCAUUGGAAAGUUGCAUUUUUUGAAUGCAACUUCUGGUGUUAUUCAUCUUUCCGGUGGAGAAGCCGAUUGGAGGCUGACAAUCGCCAGCUAAGGAGUCGCGCGAAUCGCCUGAAUAAAAAUAAAAGGUAUUUGCAUUUCUACAAAUACAUUCCCCAAAAGCCGGACCAAACGGGUCCAUAGUCUAUCCACGAAUUGUGUCUUUAGAUCUGUAAGGUCGUAAAAGAAAUGUCCCGAAACUUGUCGGUAGCAUUUCUAGAUUGACCUCCAUGGCGUAAAUUGAUAGACCGUUGAGUGGGCCAUUUUAUUCGAAGCAAUCAAAGUUAAAACUUUUGGUCAUUCCUCCAACCCAAAAAUGCUUCCAGAUUAAAUUAACUUGAGAAACAUCUAGAUAAGGCGAUUGUUCAAUUUUAGAAUCCAUUAUCAAAUUAAAAGAUUGCACGUGACUAAAUGCACAUACUUGGGUAAUAAAUGCUUUUCCUUUUUUUAUGAAUCUUGCAACGAUGACAAUUUAAUUUAAACGCAACACGAAAUGGUUAUGAUGAUAUAAAAUAUUAAAAUAUUUGAAGAAUCAAAUCGUAGACGAGUUUCUUUUAUAAUUUUCUCGAAAAAUAACAUAAUUUUUUUUAAUGAUUUAUAAAUUUACAUUAUCAUAUGAUGCAAGUUAAGCAUUCGAACUUUGUUUUGUUUUAAAAAAGCAAGAUUCGCAUGAAUUAAGUUAUAAAAUGAAAAAUUCGUUUAUAUUAAAAUACACAUUCCAAUCUUGCACUACACGUCCUUGUGAUAAAUUGGCAUGUUAUUAGCGUACAAAAACUCAUGCCUUAUAUUCAAUAAUUUACUCGAGUGUGUGAAAUGAUUAGCGUGACAUGCAACACAUUACAAACUUAACAAAAACAAAUAAACAUAAUGGCCUUAUAAUGAAAAUUUAAAUUUUGAAUGAAAAGUACAAAAUGCCAAUGUUUGAUGAAAAAAAGUCAAACAAUUUUUUUAUCAUUUAAUAUUUUAUAUUAUAAAAUGUGUUGUCAUUAUAUAUUACUAUUGAUUAAUCACACAAUGUAAAGUAAAAAUACAAAUUGCACAACAUAAAUAUCUAAUGAGUGUUAAUGUUGUGGAAGAUUGGGCUGCACGUGCUCAUAGAAGAAAAGAACUUCCGGGAAAUUUGCUUGUGUCCCCACCCUAGGCCCUUUGGGCUUUCCUCUGCAAUGAUGGUCCUGUUUUGGGCUUUGUUGGCUAAGCCUAGCUUUAGGAGACAACUAAAAGUAUCUUUGUUUAUGAAGGGAGGAGAGAGAGAGAGGGAGAGACUUUUGGCCAUGGAUGGAGAAGGAACAAAGUCGAUGUGAUUGCUCCUUUUCAUAUCUUGAAUACAAAACAAAACGAAAUAAAAUAUGAUAUAAUGAUAUUAGCACGGCUUAAGGUCAAUAUAUUUAACCAAUUAAUUGGAAAUUGAAGUGCCAAACAUUUAAUAUGUUAUAAUUAUGCAUUGUCAAUAUGGUCUAUUGAAUAUCAUGAUUAUGAAGUCCUAGACCAAUUUAUUUCUUUGUGUGUCAUUUCGAGUAUAUACUUAGUAGAAAAUACUGAUCACAUGAAUCAAGAUAAAAGCUAUUAUCAAAAUAUAUGUACAAUGGUAACUUCUUCUUUAAGGAUUGUCUCUAAGAGUGACUUAUAAGAUCCUAGAUUGCAUGAAAAAAAAUCAAAUGAUUCUCCUCUCAAAUUGUGCUUAUACUUUACGCUCCAGUCAAUCUGCUUCCAAUUAGGAUUAAUAUUUGCCUCACUUGAUACCAUGAGUUUUGGUACAAGAAAAAGAAACAUUAGCUUUGGUGAGCUUCAAUAUUGAAGACCGUAAUAUUUUUGUGACACUUCAUAUUAAGUAUUUUCUUGAAAGACCGUAAUAUUUUUGUGACACUUCAUAUUAAGUAUUUUCUUGAAGCUUUCAAGUAUAUUUUCUUAAUAUUACAUUCAUAGUUAAUACCCUAAAAAACCCUAAACUAGUAUACAUGUGACAAAUUUACUCUGACUAGUACCCCAAACUAAUUUAUUUGAUCAUAAAAAACUCAAAACUAGUAAAUUUGUGGUACUAUCCGCUAAAUUGGAUUUAUACCACAAAAAAAUCAUAAAAAUUAUAAACUAUGAUAAAGGGAACAUGAAAUCCCAAAUUGGUAUACUGGUCAAUUGUUAUAUGUCAUUUAAAUUAAUAAUUUGAUAAUAAAAUUUAACGAAAACUAACAUAGGGUAAAUUUGUCACAAGUAAACCGGUUUGGAGUCUUUGGUAGUUAAAAAAAUAGCAUGGGGUAAACUUAUAACAUGUGUACUAGUUUGAGAUUUUUCAAGGUAUUAACCCAUUACAUUAAUAUGGCUAGUUACAAAUAAAAUUUCUUAUUUAAUAUAACAACGAUAAUAAAUAAAAUUCUAAUUGGUAAUGAGUUUCUAUAAUUUACAUUAUCAUAUGAUGCAAGUUAAGCAUUCCAAUUUUUUUUAAAGCAAGAUUCGCAUGAAUUAAUUAAUAAUUUGACAAAUUGGUUUAUAUUAAACUACACUACACAUUCCAAUUUUGCACUACAAGUCUUUGCGAUAUACCGGUAUGUUAUUAGUAUACAAAAACUCAAGCCUUAUGUUCAAGAAUUCACUCGAGUGUGUGAAAUGAUUAGCGUGAUAUGCAACACGCUACAAACUUAACAAAAGCAUAUAAUUAUAAUGGCUAUAUAGUGAAAAUUUAAUUUUUGAAUGAAAAGUACAAAAUGCCAAUGUUGGAUGAAAAAAAAUGAAUCUUUUACAAUUUUUUUAUCAUUUAAUAUUUUAUAUUAUAAAACUUGUUGUCAUUAAAUAUUGCUAUUGAUUAAUCACACAAUGUUAAGUAAAAAUAUAAAUUGCACAACAUAAAUGUCCAAUGAGUGCUAAUGUUGUGGCAGAUCGGGUUGCAUGUGCCCAUAAAAGAAAAGAACUUCUGGAAAAUUGGCUUCUUUCCCCACCCUAGGCCCUUUAGGCUCUCCUCUACAAUAAUAGCCCGGUUUUGGGCUCUGCUAGCUAAGCCCAGCUUUUGUGUACCCAAAAAAAAAAAAAGCCAAAUAUAUACACAUUGGUGCCACAUUAUCAAAUUGAAUUUUUUAAAGCACAACCUCUUGUCAUUACAUAUUGCUGUUCUUGGGUUCGAAAAUGUUUUUUUAAGUUUUAAAAAACUGUUGUCUUGAAUGCAGGAAAUUAUUGUAUUAAUUUAGUAAUGUAUCGAACUGAAUAUAAAAAUUUAAAUACUACAAAAUUCACAAGCCACCAAUCAUUUUUGUUAAAUCAAAUUCAAUCUAGUAUACACAAUAUGUUUAUAAAUUUGAAUGCGUAUGUACAUACAUUUGUUUUGUUUCAUAAAACUAUUGUAGGAAGGGAAGUUUGAUAUUUCUUUUAUGUCAAAUAAUAGGCACUGAUUGUUUUAUAAAAUUUUGAGUGGCACGAAUAAAUAAAGAAAUCUCAAGAAACGCAUGUAUUUUAUGUUCAUGCUUCUUACUAUAUCAGAAUUUCUGUCCAGCUACAAGUUGGCAUGAUAUUUCCAUAUUGAAGGCAUGCUUUACUCAUGCUUUACUCUUACUUCUACGUACCCAAAAAUGUUGGAUUCCUCUUUGUUCUAAUUAACUUGACGAUGAGCGUCGACUUAAUUUUCUGUUUUUCUAGUUGAUUUAGGUUCCAUACACAAUUUCAAACGAGAGGCUCUUUUACAAAGACUAAAUUUUUCAAUACAGGUUGAAACACCAUGAUGCAAAUAUGCAGAAACAUAGGGUCUAUUUGGUAACGCUUUUGUUAUGAGAAAUAAUUUCUUUUAAAAAAUAAUCUUUUUCUAUCUCUAUUACCCGAAACAAUUUCUUUGGGAAGAAAACGUGUUUGGUAACUAUACAAAAUUUCUAUUUUCAGAAUGAAAAAAGAAUAAAAAUGCUGAUUCACAAACUUUUUUGUAAUGUAGAAUUUCUUUUAACUUUUUUUUAUUCUUCUUUACCGCCGUUGUCUAUUGCCGCCUAUAACUGACUACCGCCCGCCAUCGACCACUGCCAUCGUCGAUCGUGGUAGGUUGGUAGGCGGCGAUGGAUGGCAAUCGGCAGUGGUUGGCCGAUGGCAGGCGAGGGGGGAGGUGGCAGCGGGCCAAAAAGAAGAAAAGAGAAAAAGAAAAAAGAAAAAAAUUAUUUCUAAAAAUUGUUUUCAGGAGCAAAAAGUUAUUUUUUUUCUACUUAUUAUCUCCAUUCCAAAUCUAUUAUUCGGCCACUUUUCUAUUUUGGAGAAUAAAAAAAACUAAUUGAUGUUAUCGAACAAAUUUAUGUUUUUUUUUUGUUCUAGAAAACAUAAAAACAUAAAUCGAAAUAAAUAGAAACGUUACCAAACAGAGUCAUAAAGAUCCCAUCCACCAAUUAUCGAGUCAAAACAAUGUUAGUAUAAUUACACAUGAAAAAUCACGAGAAAUAGUGGACUUUGAUUCUUAAAAAGGUAACGAUUAAAAUUUGGUAUGUUACGCAUGCCAAUUCCGCACAUAAUGCCUCGAACAAAUAAAUUACACCACCACAAGGUACCGCGUUUGACUUCAAUUGAAGCCGAGCGCUUUUGCGUGUUUUCUGACAAUGCGCAAUUUCAGCAUUUGGUUUACCACUUGCCUCAUGCUAGGGCGAUCACGGGGUGAGUACUCAACACAUUGCAUUGUUAACCUUGUGAUCUUAGGUCCGUCCUCUGAAUAGAAUCCCGGGUCCGCUUCCAGGCUUGCAUGCACCGAGGAGCAUUUCGUCUUGUCAUCUGACCCUGCGAUUUUCUCCUCAUACAUCUUAACCCAAUCAUCACGAAAAGGUCCUUCCAGGUGCUUAUAGGGCCUCUUCGUGAUCAAAUUAAGUAGAACAACCCCAAACGCAAGCACAUCGCUUUCUGUUCUCCCGCCUGUCAAAGGAAAAACUUGAGGUUAACUCGCAGAAAAAUGAAACCAAGGCAAUCACAAGCGAAACCCUUUUAAAAUGAUUGACAAUCUCUAAUCAUUGGUCAUUCAACCGAAACAAGACAAUAGUGUGCCAGAGGCCAAUAUUUGAACAAGGAGCUCCUUUUAUAAUGUCAAGCCUCCCAACAUCAUCAAAGGACAACCUACUUGGAUGUCAAUUGUUCUCCCAUAUCUUUUCACUUUGAGGAAAGCGCCUGAGCGAAUAAUUUCUGAGAAAAUGACCCUCUGAAAACUUUGAUAGAGUUUGAGCAUGAUUCAGGCGGAAUGUUAGUGAGAUUGGUGUCUAACAAGGAAGUGACGUUUAGUACAUCUCCACCCAAAAGACCUCCCCAAAAAUCUUUUCCCGGAUACAUCUACGAGUACUAACUUAACAUUAUGCUUUCCUAUUGAAAUAAAUACUUAAUAAUGGGACCAUAGCAUUAGACAUUGUUCUUCUAUUUUGAUCAUACCAAAAAAUUACGGUGUACUAGUUGGAUAGAACUUGAACUUUAUCUAUUGAUGCAUAUAAUUAACCUUGGGGAUACUUUUAUAACCUGCUUGCUUCCUAAUGCCGCAAUGUGACAUGGAUGAACAUAAGUCUACUACGAUGCUCUGGACAUGAAUAUAGAAAAAUGUCACCAGUCCCAGUCUUCCCUGUCAAACCAUGUCACAAAAAGAGUAUCUCGAUGAAGUGCUUCAAGAAUCCAUUCAGUAAUUGGGGAUUCUAGGGUAUAGUAGGAUUUUAUAUGCUAACUUUCAGACAUCAACUUAAUGGAACUCUAUAUGGAUCUUGUCCAGAAACACAAAAGGCCAGAGGUUCAGGAAAUGCUCAGAGUUUUUGUGGAUCUAGUAGAAUAACUUCAGCAGUUGAAGUGAUGAGACAUGUUGCUGCUAGCAACAUCAGUAGGAGCUUCAAAGUUAUUUAUCUAGGACAUUUCAUAAGCUCGAUUAUAGGAAUGUCCAGUCAUAUCUUAAUUUUAUUCAUCUUAGUCGUAUAUAUGUUGGAGAAACGAAUAACUUGCAGCCCGGUAUCAGUCUGCCUAUCAAAGGUAUGUUGAGUGAAGGAGAUGCGGUCAAAGAGGGGUCUGUUCCCCCAAGGUUAGGAGGAACAUCUCCUUAAUUUAUCAAGAUGGCAAUGAAGGUGGACAUCAUAAUGGUCUAUCAGGCCUAGGUGCAUUUCAAUUCCUUUAUGAGUGAGGUUUGUAUACCUAAGUAUCUCCUCAAAUUAAGCAGAGUAUCAUUUCCGGAGAGUAAUCGAUCAUUCAAUGUGAUUUGUUAAACAUAGAAAAAAUCAGACUUAGGCAUAAUUACUUACGAAGACACUGUAUAGGUGAUGAUGAGAAAAUCGGUGCAUGAGACCUAAAAACUCUUCUUUUAAAUGUCGACUUCAGCUCUAAAGUUGGCUCUUCUAAAAACAGGCCCCCUCUUUCUGCAAAACCUUAUUCAGGACCUCAUCCAUCUAUUAUAGAAUCGGAGCUUGGUAUUUGCUGUCCCUGCUCUAUUGCAGCUGCUCUCACUUUAAUUGGUUAAAUACUCAUACCAAGUCCUGAUGACUCGCCUCGUAGAUCAUAUCUUUGUUCUCCUAGAUCACCAAUCGGCGAGCUGUCUUGCAAUUGAGAACAAUAGGAAAGAGACAGCAUAGAUGGAUAUGACCUGUUUGCGAAAUGCACCCUUGACACUACCUACUUUACUCUAUUGGUCCGUUGCAAGACAGAUUACUCAUCAUUGGAGACUCAACUGUUCCACAAACAAAGUGAAGCUUCAUAACAAGGCGAUGAUGGGAGGAGUGAGCAUAAAUUGGAUUCUAGAUGGAGCCUGGACUUCUAUGGAGUAUUCAAUCUGAGGAUUUAGUCAUGGAGUUACUGAGAAAAACAUCGGGAAAAACUCACCGAGGGAAUGAGCACACUCCUAAAAUUAAUAAUUGUUAUAUUCACUUUACAAGUUUAUACUAAGCUAAACAACCAUGAAAAUGAGAAGAACCUAAAAUAAUACUAUGUUGCUUUUAGAAGCUUAUAAUUUAUAGAAUCACUUCAUGCUCAUUUCUCCCUAAAAUAUGAUGAUUUCCCUUAUAAUUCAGUCUGCUGGGGCUGGAUAUUGCAAGUUGGGUAUACUCUCUCGAGAAGAUGGUGGAAACAACAAACAAAUCUAAGGUUAUCAGGAUUUUACGGGUGGGGGGGGGGGGGGGGGUUAGAUACAUACUUACAUAGUGCUGACGUUCAUUUCAUUAAUUAGGAUCAGACUCUCACAUUAGCCUAACAAAUCAAUAUCCUACUAGAUCUGAGUAAUACGUUAAAUUUUAGAUAACAAGAUCCUAAUUGGGAUAUUAAUGACCAAGCACAGUGGCAGCAAAAAUAAACACGCAGAGUUGAAACUAGAUACCUUCAGGAUGGAAUUCAUUAUAGCCGUAACCUCUGACAAAAUUGUAAAGCUUCUUGUAUUGUGACAGAGGAAGAAUUCCACCAGUAAACAUUCCAAACUCAUACCAUAUUGGAUUGUAUUCCUGGAUAAUGAAGGCACCAAAAACAUUAUGGAUUCUCACAGACCACAAAAAGAAGCAGAAGUUCUUUCGACAGACCUUGUCAACCAUUAUAUGACUUGGAUGUAUAUUGCGGACUGCAUAAGGUAGAUCCCGUCCAUCCGUGGAGUGAAGAAAUUCAAGGAGACAACCAAAUCCAAGAGCAACCUUAAUUCUCCGCAUCCAUGUGAAGCUAUCUGCAUUGCAGUUUUAACAUGUUAAAGGGUUACAUCUCCCACAAGCUUAAAUUGUCAAGGAACAGGCCAACAUGCCUGUCAGAAUCAGAAAAAAGAUUGUUGUUGUCAAACUUUUUUGCUGCAGACUAGCUAAGGUUCUGCUUGGUAAAGAAAUUUUGGACACGAUAUUGCAAGGCAAAAAACACAUUGCAUCAGUUUCGGAGGUGUCCAUGGCCUCUAUUUAAACCUAGUGCUUUUCUGUUCCAAUUUGAACCCUAGACAGAUUUUAGCGCAAGGGACCACCUUAAUGGGCAUACUGUUAGAUCAAAGAAGAAAAAAAUUGUACCUUCUUUCAGUAAGUUUUGAGCAGUAUCCAAGGAAUCAAGAUCAUACACCACACGAUCUUCACAACAGUAGCCUACCAACUUCACCAUAGUAGGAUGUAGGAUGAACUCCGGAUGCCGAAGUAAAGUUAGCUCAUCCUGAAGACCGUUAAAGAGUUAACUGAGGAAUAUUAAAGGCAUUGAAUUCUGAUGGAUGAACGAUUUCACUCUUAGCAUACCGUCAAUUCUCCCACUCCGGGGGUAUAAAAAAAUAUCUCUGACUCCUCCAAUAUUUUCACCGUCACUGCUCGCGAUUCAAUCUUUCCACGAUACAUUUUGCCAAACUGUAAGUUCCCAAUAAAAUUCUCCACGGAAAACUCAUCAGUGAACUGGCUAAGGUCUUCAUAUGAAAACGCUUGCAUCUUACCAUGCCGUUUUGCUGAAAAGUUUCCAUAGAUGGUUUGUUAAAAACAUGAAAUCAACGAACCACAACACUAAAACUUCAGACAACAGAUACGACUGCAAUCUCCUUUUAAGACUGUUCAUGGUUAGCAAAAGGCGCGCACUAUCGGCGUCCAUGAAAGAAGGCUUUCAUUCUUAAUUCAUUUGCGUUGCCAAUAAAAAAAGUGAAAGGGGUACAAUAUGUCAUUAUGCCCACACACUGGAGAAAGACCAAUAAGGUUUUGCUUUGAUAAACAACAUAACAUGCCCUCUGAUUGCGACAUGGUCACCACAGCAUGGCCAGAUAACCCGUCUCCCUAUAGUGGAACAAAAUAAUCAGUAAAACAACAUAAAAGAGAUAUUAUGGGAAAGGGAUUUAAUACAUGCAUGUGUUUUUCCUAUGCACUUUUUAAAAAAAAUGCAGGUUGAUGUGCAACCACAACAGUGUCGGGACAAUGGAGCAAGAGAUUUGAUACGUUGCUCUCGUUGCGAUUGAGUCUUUGAGCAUCGAUUGGAACCUGCUUGUUUGUGAAAGUGAUUUUUAAAACGAGGGGUAUGGUUAAUUGGGUUCAUGACUAGAAUCGCAACUUAAUUAAAAAAAAAAUUAUCUCAUAGCUAUUUGAUACCCCAUCAUCGUAAACAUUGCAAUCCCAAUUUCGAGAUGGGAAGUGUUUGCUCAUGAAAAUGGUUGCUUUCGGUAUCACAGAAUCACUUUCUCUGUGAAAUUUCGCACUGCCACCACGUUCAUCAGGAUAUUCUUCUUAACGUUUAUCUUAGUUAAAUGUCAAUACGUCACCUGACCUAUUUCUCAUCAUUUUUUGCUCUCCAUUUUGCUUAAAUUGAGAAACUACCGUCCUCUCUUCCUCAAUAUGAACCGUGAAAUGUCCAAUAUAUUCAUCUUCAGGCAUCGUUCCUGCAGUAACUUGAACGUCUUCACUAUUCCACCAUUGUGGAGGGGCUCAAUAAUUAAAAGAUUUUGGGGGUUGCUAGCCUAUUGCGGUAUAAAAGAUCUCAACCGUGAAAUGUCCAAUAUAUUCAUCUUCAGGCAUCGUUCCUGCAAAGCUUCCAACUGAAGAAGAAGAAGAAGAAGAAGAAGAAGCAUCUUACCUGCUUCAAUCAGAAUCCUACUUUUAUUAGCUAUAUAAAAGAUCUCAACAUGCCUGGAAACAUCGCUAAGUCUUCACAAUCCUCAUGCAAGAAGAAGAAGAAGAAGCCACUAGAAAGGAAUGGAACGGUUCUUCUGAUGCCCCCAAAAUGGUACCAGCUCGAGAUGAUAAUCCAUUUCUUAAAAUCUACCAAUCCAAAUCAAACCAACUCUUACCACGUUAGGAUGACAAGAAGAAAAAUUUACCAAAAGUAUUACAUGUUAACAAAGGUAGCCCAUAGAUAUCAAUUUCGAGUAAUAGAGAAAACAUAUAAAAUACCAAGUCCAUUUUUUGCAUUCUGUCCCAUUGCAGAUUAUAUUCCCGAAUUAUUUAGAGUAAUGAGAAGACACCGAGCACUUGAAAACAUAUAAAAUACCAAGUCCAUUUUUUGCAUUCUGUCCCAUUGCAGAUUAUAUUCCCGAAUUAUUUAGAGUAAUGAGAAGACACCGAGCACUUGCUUACCACCAGUUAUAUUGCACCCGAUUCCCUUACUUGACGUCUCCUCUUAAGUUACAUUUUCAAAGUACCUCUUAAAUAACGACGUUGUCCCUAUUCAGUCAAGCCACCAUGCCUAUCUAACCCAAGUAACUAAGAUAUAAUCCCAGUAAAGAGGCCUGGACAAGCACAAAAUAAAGCUCCCAAAGCGAGGGAGAAACCGUGUUUCUAGCCUCAUUGGUUAUUAGGUUCCCAUGUAAUUCAUUUGGCUUUCCAAAGGACAGUUUGCCUUGGCAGAAAGGACCAACAAUAUGGAGGCACAGAAAGCAAGAGAAACCCCAUGUGCCGGAUCACUAUUGCAUCUAUCGAGUCAAAAGUAUUAAAUGCUCAUGAAGCAUGCACAACAAAUUUACAAUGAGAAAAUAAGCAAGGAAUUUUAAACUAUUGACUGUGCACUCGCUAGAUCAACUCCUCAAAAUGAGUAGCAUCAGUACAGUAAAUAAAGCUCCUUGAAGAGAAGUCAAGAUAUGAAUACGUCGAAACUUGUUACCACAGCAUAGAAUGUUGUACUCCAAGACAUACGAGUAGAGGAGUUCAUGGGGAUUGCUAUAGUUUAGCUUAUGUGCAUCCGCAUAUUCUCCAACCACUCAUCAAAACUAGCAGCAUCAAUCCAUAGAAAAAAAAGAGAGUAGAAUAACAAAACAUCCCUCUCAGAAAGGACUUGAAACAAUCAACAGAUGAACCUGAUGUACCAAAAAAAAAAUAAAAAAUGAAGAAUUCCUGAUUACCUUGAAACUUAUCCUUCAGUGGAUUGGGCAGAGCGACUUCCAUAAACAGUUCGUCAAAACCCACAGCCUCUUUAUCAAGCUGAACAAUAUGCAGCUUCAGCAAACAGCUAAUGACUUGCUUCAUUGAUGGGCGGCGAUUAGGGUUACGUUUGAUACAUUGCAUGGCCAACUUCGUAAUCUUUAAACCGUCUUCAAACUUGAACAACAGAUUUUCUUUGAGGCUUUCAUCCACAAGAGACGAUCUAGAGCCCUUGGCUCGCUUUGACUGCUUGUACUCAUUUUCGGCCCAUUCAUAAACACAAGGCGCAGGAGCAGGACUUAAUCUGUCCUCCUCUGUACAGACUCUUUUGCAGAUCAAACCCAACAAUACAACUCCAUACGCAAAGACAUCAGUUUUGUGAGACCAUUUGCCUGUUUCGAAAAAUAUUAGGGAUAAGCAAUCAAGAGAUGAUCAGAAAGGUUAAUCAGAUAAAAUUACUCCAUUGUGGAGAAAGAGUUAGAAACUAUAUGAAGGGUACAGGUUUCUCAGAUCAUGUCACUGAAGUACCAUAUGGUUAUUUGGUUGCAAUUAGAGAGCAAGCACCCUAAUAUACUAGCCCACAUUGCAAAUAAAACAUCAAAGAAAUUGUCAUGAGUAUGCUGAAACUGAUGUUCUGAUUGAAAUAUUACUGUCAUGUGGAAUUGAAGAGAUUAUUUUAUUUGAUGAAUUGGAAAUCAUACACUACAAACUAUUAGUGCACCAUAAUACAGGAUGAGCAUUUCAAAUCAUGGAUGGUUAAGGAAACUAGUCGUGUGCAUUUUGUUCUCUGUUAAACAAUGACCAACAAUGACAAAUGAUCAGUCAAUAUUAACAUACGCGAAGAGCUCAGGUGAGCUAAACACGAAGCUGGUUUUGGAGGGACACAGCUCUUGUUUGGCUGAUGGACAUCUAAUUUACAUGCCACCGGUUAUACUAAAUGCGAUUAAGUAUCUCUGAAAUCAUUUCAAGAAAACCUCUGAAGGAACUGAGUCCAAACCCCUCUUAGCAUAUACACAACUUUCAUAGCAACGAGCUAGUCUGACUUGGAAUUGAUAACCUUUUUCAUCCAGAUCUAGAUUCAUUAAAAACAUUGCAAAGUAGUAUAGACAUUGCUAGCAAGAGCAAACUCCUGUGCUAUGUUCUGUUGAAAGCUUCUCAAAAUAUAGUCAUCCAAAAUUGCCUGGGUUCAUGUACUAUGGUCAAUAUAAUCAAUCACACUCGAUUUCUGCAGCUCUGAUCUCUCAUAGAAUCAAUCACACUCGAAUUACCAAUGAAUAGGUAAUAAGCUCAAAUCCAAAUGACUAGACAUGCUAUCUCCCAUAUGUUUAACAAAAACUGAGUGAACAAUUUGUGCAUGUGUUGCAGAUAUAACUCUUUAUAGAUAUCACUUCAGCAUAACCUAAGACCAGUAUCAGGAAACGUGGGGAAACAGGGUUAUUAGCAGGAACCCAAGGUGUUAAUCCUUUCACAAAGCCAAAAAAAAGGCAGACGAUAUAGAUGAGAGAUACCAUGAUUAUCAAAAUUUGGAUCCAUGUAUCCAUGACAGCCUUUAGAAUCUUCAUCUAUGAGGAGUGACCUAUCAGUGAAAUAUCCACCUGAAAGCAUGCUGAAGUCAUAUAACACUGCAUUGUAAUCCUGCAAAACCCCCCGAAAGAAAAGGUAUGCCAUGAAAAUUAUUUAAGAUAAAUGGCCAAAAAGCCAACAAGAUGUUCUUUCAUUAAAAGGACAAACCUGGUCAAUCAUUACAUGGGCAGCAUCCAAAUUACGAACCAGCAAAGGUAGGUCAAAAGAAUGAAGGAACUCAAGAAAGUUAGCGAGUCCUAAAGCAGCUCUGAUCCUCUGGUGCCAAGCAAAGCUAACUACAAAUAGCCGGAAAAUGAUCAUCAUCUAUGUUAAACAAAAGGACAAUCAUGGACAAUCUGCAAGGGAAAUUCAGCACAAAACAAUGGGGAAGAAACCUUGAUUUUGCCAAUUGCUCCUAUAGAUAACACUAUGUCAACACUAGUAUUGAAUCACAAUAAGCAUAGACGAUCGACCGCGUGGGCAAGGAAGGAGUUAUUUGCUCAGUGACACGUCUAAUUAUGUAUUGAAUGAAGUACCACCUUUGGUGACAAGAUUGUGGAGUGUGUCCAGAGGAUUCAGGUCGUAAACACGAGCGAAAUAUCCUUCCAAAUAAGUAUAACAAAGGCACUUGACUAUGUUUGGGUGAAGAUCAUGCAGUCCCGAUUCAGUCAACCACUAGUGCAUAUAAGAUUCUUCCCGGAAGCUGCGUGCAACUGCCCCUGGUCUGAUCAGAGAUUUGUCCUCCGAUAUCUUCACCGUGACCUUCUUUCCCUCAUAAUCUCCUCGGUAGACUUUGCCGAAUUGGAAACUGCCGAUGUGGUUUUCUUCACUAAAGCCGUUUGUAAUCUCUUCAAUAAGACUAUAAGGACAAGACGUCCAGUCAUCGGGAACCAUACCUGAAAAAUAUUCACCACACAAUUUUCAACAACAGAAAAGGCAUCAAUUUUGUUUUUUCUCUCCUUUUCCUUGUUUGGCAGUAAGUAUACAAAGGGUAGAGAAACCAGAAAUCUCACUCGGGAGUUUGAUAAGACUUUGCUCUUCGGGCACUUGAAGAGUGUGUAACACAUAUGAUUAACGUCCGGAGCAGAGCUUCUGCUCUAUCACAAGGAGGAUGGGGCAACUCCAACCAAGUUGUUGCAAGGGCAAGAAAGGAACAGUACUGUUAGCUGCUAUAGCAGAGAUAAGGUCAGAAUUCAUAAAUGUAGAUUUUGGUGAAUCUCUAGCCAAAGGAAAGAGGAGGACGAGAAUGACAAUAGAAUGCGGAAACGUCAACAAUGUAAUCCAAAAAGAUAUCGGUUGGCGACAAUCUCAUCAUAGGACAAUCUUGUAUAUUUUUAAACUAGCAAACUUAUUGUUAUUAUCACUAUGAUAUUGUCAUUGAAAUCUAAGUUUAAAUUUCCCAAAAAGGCAAGAUAAUAUUUUCCUACGAUGUCUUUUUUUGAUUGGAUAGAAUAAAUGGAAAGUUUAUUACUAAAAAUAAAUUGAGUGCAAGAUAUAUAUUCAAUUCGAGACUUUAUCAUCAUCUCGAUUUUUACGUGAUAUGUCAAAUUUCAAAUAUAUAUAUGUGCAUGAGAUAAGAUAUGCUUUAUUCGAUUCGACCUGUUAGUAUUUGUAACUAUUUAGGGAUUACCAUAAAAAGGCAAGAAUAAAAUAUACAUAAUAGAUUUCUAAGUGCUUAUAGUUAAAUAAAUGCUUCCAGAUUCAGAAUUGUUACUGAAUCAGACUAUUUGUAUACAUAUUACAUCUAUACAAUAUAUGUUUCUAUAAAUGUUUUAGAAGCGUGAAUAUUUUGUAGCUAUAUAUAAGGAAAGAAACUGAUUAGGGUUUCGUAGCUUGUACAGGCAUGUAAAGGAAGAAACAUAAUUAGGGUUUCGUAAAACGAAGGAAUGGUGGAGAAUCUCGGCUGCUAAUGGGGUCACGAACUCAAACCCUCUUAUUCCAAUGAAAGCAAUAGUAGAUCCUCGAACCGCAAGCACAUAAAUUCACGCAAACCAUCUUAGCUCCCGCAUAGGAGCAACUCUUCAGAUUCGAAGACCCAAAAAACAAAGAACUUGAUGUCUCAAUUCAUCGGCGUCCAAUGGAGACACGGCAUCUCAAGAAAGGAAACAAUGGUCCGACGCCAAAGUAACUAAUUGAAGCAAGCAAAGCGUCUGGAAUGUGGGAUGGAUGGACCCAAAAGAAAAAAAAAAUCUCCAAGUAGUCAGCAUUGCAAAUUUGUGGAGAGAAGUCUGAUUACUAGUUCUCCUGUUUGUAAAAUUCGAUUCGAAAGAUGAAAUGAUGGUCCCCCAUUUUCAUGUCUAUGUGUAUCGAUGGAAGAUAUAGUUUUCUAUUUUACCUUGAAUGAAACUGUUGUAAUUUAAGCCUGAAUAAUCAAAUUUAAAUCGAAGACUUGACCAUCGAGUUAAUCUCUUUGAGAAAUGCCCCUCGCUUAAUUUUCAAACUGCUACUGAACCUUGCUAUUAGAUGCUUAAUGAGAAAAAAAGAAAAAAGAAAAAACUUGUGUUAAUAAAUCACUUGACAGGGAUUAUUAUCUAAUAGUAACUGCGACGAAACAGACCAUUUAGGCUUGAUAUAUCCUCCUUGGUUGACACCGAUGUGAGGUCCUACCUGAAUCCUGUUCAAACUAUAUCAAAGUUUUCAGUUGGUUCAGGCGCUUUCCUCGUAUCAACAAGAUUUGGGAGUACAACUGACAUUCAAGUCGGUUGUCCUAUGGUGACUUUAGAGUGGUACCACUGUAAAAAUGGAGCUCUCGUUAAGAGUAGUCUCAUUCAAAGAUUGGCCUCGGGCACACUAUUGUCUUCUUUCAGUUGAAUGGCCAGUGAUGAGAGAUUGUCGGUCCUUUUGAAAGGGUUUCGCUCGUGAUUCCCUUUGUUUCAUUUUUCUGCACUUGAGCUAACCUCAAGUCUUUGAUAGAAAGCCAUGUGCUUGCAUAUGGGGCUGUUCUCCUUAAUUUGAUUACGGUGAGGCCCUAUAAGUACUCACACGGACCUUGUCCUGAUGACUGGGCCAAGGAGUAUUAGGAGAAAAUCUCGGGGUCAAAUGACAAGACGAAAUGCUCCUUGGUGCACGCCAGCCUAGAAGCGAACUCGGGAUUCUAUUCGGAUGGACCUAAGAUCACAAGGUCAGAGAUGCAAUGUAUCGAGAGCUCACCUUGUGAUCACCCUAGCAUGAGGCAAGUGGUGAACCGAAUGAUGAAACUACGCAUUGUCAAAAAGCACGCAAAAGCGCUCAGCUUCAAUUGCAAUUGAAGUCGAAUGCGGUGCACUGGGGUGGUGUAAUGUAUUUGUCCAAGGCAUUAUGUGCGGAAUUGGCAUGCGUACCACACCAAAUUUUAUUUAUUACUCACUAGUUCGAAUGGUUCAAAGCUCACUCUUUCCCCUGAUUUCUCUCGUGUGUAAUUAUACUAACAUUGUGAUUGUUUUGACUUGGCAAUUGGUGGAUCUGAUGUUUGUGUUUCUGUGUUCAAACCUAUAUUUAAAAAUUAAAAUCAGCUGGAUAAAGUCAAGCUGAUGCUCCUAAUAGUUUAAUAAGAAUAAAGAGGAAUUCGUUGUAAGCCUUAUUCAGUUCGGUACGUAUACUAAAUCAACGCAAUAAUUUCUUGCAUCCCAAGACAGCAAUUGUUCAAAAACUCAGAAGCAUUUUCGAGCCCAAGAACCGGUUGGAGAUAGAAGGAAAUAUAGAGCCUCGUUUCGAUAAUAUGGCACCAAUAGGUAUAUAUUUCGGAAUUUGCAUUGUGCAAUUUGUCUCUUUACUUGACAAAGGUGUAAUUAAUCAACAGAAAUAUAUAAUGACAAGAAGUUGAAUACUAUAAAAUAUCGUAUGGAAAAAAUAUGUAAACGAUUGACUGUUACUUCUUUCGAAAAUUAAAUUUUCACUGUGACGCUAGUUUGGUAAUAUAUCUUUGUUAAGUUUGUAGGGUUUUUCCAUGUCGAGCAUUUAUUAUUAUUAUUAUUAUUAUUAUUAUUAUUAUUAUUAUUAUUAUUUGUUCGGGGAAUCGAGGGUAAAUUAGUUGGGCCAAUUUCAAUACCAAAAAAAUCAAAAGUAGUUGGGCCAAUUGAGGUGUUAUUGUGAACUGAUGGUAACUGUGGACUAACUAAGGUGAGUACAUGGGCUUUUGGGCUUGAGGAAAUGGGUUUGUUUUUUCUGACUCUUUUAUCCAAUUUUGAAGUAAAGAGCUACUUCUUAUCAUCUCUGCAAUUUUUUUUUACAUUAUUAGCAUAAUUUGAUAACUAAGGUAGUGCCAUUUAGUACAUCUUCACCUCAAAAGACCUCCCCAAACAUAUUUCCUAGGACAAAUCCACGAGUAGUAACUUAAUAGUAUGCUUUACUAUUGAUAAAAGAAAAUUACUACAAGACCAUAAGAUUAGACAUUGUUCUUUUGAUUUGAUCAUAUCGAAAAGCUAGAUACAGUGUACGUAUUGGAUAAAAUUUGAACCUGAACCGUUGAUACAAAUACCUAGACCUAGGUACUUAUUUGCUUGCUUUCUAAUACUGCAAUGGGACUCUGAUGAACAUUAGUUAUACUUUGAUAAGAGUUCAAUAACUCGAGAUUCAAGGCUGUAGUUAAGAUAUUAUAUCUAACUUCCUGACUUCAGCUUCGUGGAACUGAAGAUGAAUCUUGUCCAGAAACACAAAAGGCCAAAGGUACAACAAAUGCUUAUAGUUUAUGAUGAUCUAAAAGAAUGAGCACACUUACAGCAAAGUGAUAAGAUAUGCUGCUAGUGGCAACAAGGGUAGAAGAUUCAAAGGCAUUUAUCUAGGACAUUUCACAAGCUCGAAUACAAGAAUGUCCACAUGUAAGAAUCUUAAUGUGAUUAAUCUUAGUGGUAUAUAUAUACUAAAAAGCAGAAUCCCCAGCUGUGAAUUUCCUGACUCAGUGAAUGGUAACAUAUAACCUUGCAAUUCCUUACCAAAAAAAAAAAAAAAAAAAACAUAUAACGUUGCACUCCAGCAUCAGUCUGCUUAUAGCAAAGGUCUCAUGAGUAAAGGAGAUGUGGUCAAACCAAAUUCAAUUCCCCCAAGGUUAGGAGGAUAUCUCCUUAUUGAAAUGGUCUAUAAGGCCUAGAUGCAUUUUCCUUUUAAUAUUCAAAAUUUCGAAUCCUGUAUAAAUGCUGUUUGCAUACUCACUAUCUCUUUAAAUAUAGCCAAGCAUAAUUUCUCGAGACUUAAUUAAGCACUUAGGUUCCAUUCAUUUGUGAAAAAUAAUUUCCGGGAAAACAUUUUCCGGAUUUUCCAGCGUUCGCUUUCUGGAAAAUGAAUUCCUUGAAGAAAAUAUUUUCCGUCAAAGGAGAAAAAUCUUCUAAAAGGGAGGAAAAUGUUUUCUACUUUUCCAAAAUGGAAAACAUUUUCCUCACAUAAUUUCUCUUAUCUCACACCUCUACAAAUCCUCACUUUCUCCUCUCAUUUCUUCUUCUUCUUCUUUCCUUUUUUUAUUUGAAUUAUAUUUGAAUUUUCUUUUUUCUAUUUUAAUUCGAAUUAUUUUUAAUUUCAUUUUUCUUCUUUUUUUCUUUUUUUUCUUUGUUUUCCAUUUCUUUCUUGGCUAGUCGUUGGACCAAAUGAACCUCAAGCUCAUCGAUUUUAAAUUCAUGCUCGUCAAUCUAGCGAGCCUCAAGCUCGACGCUCGCGCUCGUUAAUUUGGUAAGCGGAAAAUAUUUUCCUUAUUGAAUACCGAAAAAUAUUUUUAUAUUUUUCGAAACAUUUUUAAAUUUUAGCCGAACACUAGAAAAUAUUGUCAUUUUCUUGAAAAAUGUUUUUUGGAAAAAUAUUUUCCGGAAAGGGUCCAUUUUUGGCGAAACGAACGGACCUUAAUCUGGUUCCAUAAUUGGAAAAAGAAAAAAAUCAGACUUCGGCUUGAUUACUUACCAAGACACCGUAUGGUUGAUGCCGAGAAAAUCAGGGAAUGAGACCUAAAAACUUUUCUUUUAGAUGUUGCUUCAGUUCUAAAUUCCACUAUUCUAGAAACAAACCCCUCUUUCUGCGUUGCCUUACUCAGUACCCCCGUCGAUCUAUUAGAGAAACGUUGAUAGAAAAGGUAGAUCCAUGGCGAAUCAAAUGGACAACACUUCCGGGUCUGCGUCUAUGCGAACAAACAAAGGCCAAGUCUAAAUAUUCGAGCUUCACCAUAUCUGAGCUUGCGAAAAUGUAAAAAAGCGAAACUUGUUCAUACCUGCAAAGCCAGGUCGAUACUGGGGAAUACGGUCGUGAAGCUUUGACUGAAAAGGCAGCCUGCCUCUUGGUAUGGAUGGUCAAGGACCAGGCUUCAUCAUCCUCCUCGGCUAGGACCUAUAAAGCGAAUUUAGUGAUCUGUUCAUAGCCGCAAAACCAGGUCAUGAAACGUUGAUAGAAAAGGCAGAUCCAUGGCGAAUCAAAUGGACAACACUUCCGGGUCUGCGUCUAUGCGAACAAACAAAGGCCAAGUCUAAAAAUUAAAAAAGCGAAAGUUGUUCGUACCUCCAAAAGAACCGAGUCGAUGGAGGGGGAGAGAGAGGCUUUUGGCAACGGAGUCGACCCAGGAGAUGGAGAUGGAGAGAGAGAGAUGGGGACCGAAGGUUUUUUCUCGCUCAAACAGCAAAACCGAUGCAGGCGGAGAGAGACGGAGAGAGAGGGCUGGGAGAGAGAAAGGCUAACCCUACACGUCUACCGGAUAUUAUAAAAUAAAAUAAAAUAAAAUAAAACAAAGAUAAUAAAACGCUCAAAGUCCUCCACUUCUUGAAGUGUUCGACUUUCGUAUGUAUGAAUUUACGCAAGUGCCCUUCUACGUCUAUUUUAUCCACCUCUUUAUCCACACCCCACCCAUCUGUUUUUGCCGUUUAUCGCGUAAAUAAUAUAAUUCGCACCCAUAUUCAUAUAUAACAUGUUAUCAUUUUCUUAAAAUUCCCAUAAUUCCAGAUUUACUAGAAUUCAUGGGUUAUUGGCAUUGAUUGCUUAAUUAAUUAUAAUUACGUAAUCUUACAUUCAUAAAUUUAUUACGUCCUACUAAUGACUUUAAAAAGAGUUGAUAAUAUAUAAAUAUUAUUUGUUAAAAGUCAUUACAUUUAACAUUGUGAGAUCAUAAUGUCCUCACCACGGAAUUAAGUAAUUGGAUGAGGAUGAAAAUUGAGUUUCUUUUACUAUAUUAAAAUUAAUUUUAUUUCCAACUGAGUAAGUUUAUUAGAAAGCAUCGAUUACUUAAAAAAAUUACAUACCCCACACUUUGCCACGAAAUAAGCUUUUCAUUAGAGAUAAUUGUAUUUGACACAAAGCACGUAAUUAUAAAAUGAUGUGAUUGUUCCUUUUCAUAUCUUGAAUACAAAACAAAACGAAAUAAAAUAUGCUAUAAUGAUAUUAGCACGGCUUAAGGUCAAUAUGUUUAACCAAUUAAUUGGAAAUUGAAGUGCCAGACAUUUAAUAUGUUAUAAUUAUGCAUUGUCAAUAUAUGGUCUAUUGAAUAUCAUGCUUAUGAAGUCCUAGACCAAUCUAUUUCUUUGUGUGUCAUUCGAGUAUAUACUUAGGAGAAAAUAUUGAUCACAUGAAUCAAGAUAAAAGCUAUUAUCAAAAUAUGUGUACAAUGGUAACUUCUUCUUUAAGGAUUGUCUCUAAGAGUGACUUAUAAGAUCCUAAAUUGCAUUAAAAAAAAAACCGAAUGAUUCUCCUUGCAAAUUGUGCUUAUACUCUACGCUCCAGUUAAUCUGCUUCCAAUUAGGAUUAAUAUUUGCCUCACUUGAUACCAUGAGUUUUGGUACAAUAAAAAGAAACAUUAGCUUUGGUGAGCUUCAAUAUUGAAGACCAUAAUAUUUUUGUGACACUUGAUAUUAAGUAUUUUCUUGAAGCUUUCAAGUAUGUCUUUUAAUAUUGCAUUAAGAGUUAAUACCCUGAAAAAUCCUAAACUAAUAUACAUGUGACAAAUUUACUCUGACUAAUACCCCAAACUAAUUUAUUCGAUCAUAAAAAACUCCAAACUAGUAAAUUUGUGAUACCAUCCGCUAAAUUGGAUUAAUGCCACAAAAAAAAUCAUAAAAAUUGUAAACUAUGAUAAACGAAACAUAAAAUCCCAAAUUGGUAUACUGGUAAACUGUUAUAUGUCAUUUAAAUUAAUAAUUUGAUAAUAAAAUUUAACGAAAACUAACACAAGGUAAAUUUGUCACAAAUAUACCAAUUGGAGUAGUUGAUAGUUAAAAAAAUAGCAUGGGGUAAACUUAUAACAUGUGUACCAGUUUGAGAUUUUUCAGGGUGUUAACCCAUUACAUUAAUAUGGGUGGUUACAAACAAAAUUUCUUGUGUAAUAUAACAACGAUAAUAAAUAAAAUUCUAAUUGGUAAUGAGUUUCUAUAAUUUACAUUAUCAUAUGAUGCAAGUUAAGCAUUCGAAUUUUGUUUUUUUUUUUUAAAAGUAAGAUUCGCAUGAAUUAAUUAAUAAUUUGACAAAUUGGUUUAUAUUAAACUAUACAUUCCAAUUUUGCACUAUACGUCCUUGCGAUAUAUCGGUAUGUUAUUAGUAUACAAAAACUCAAGCCUUAUGUUCAAGAAUUCACUUGAGUGUGUGACAUGAUUAGCGUGAUAUGCAACACGCUACAAACUUAACAAAAGCAUAUAAUUAUAAUGGCCAUAUAGUGAAAAUUUAAUUCUUGAAUGAAAAGUACAAAAUGCCAACGUUGGAUGAAAAAAAGUGAAUCUUUUACAAUUUUUUUUAUCAUUUAAUAUUUUAUAUUAUAAAACUUGUUGUCAUUAUAUAUUGCUGUUGAUUAAUCACACAAUGUUAAGUAAAAAUACAAAUUGCACAACAUAAAUGUCCAAGGAGUGCUAAUGUUGUAGAAGAUUGGGCUGCAGGUGCCCAUAAAAGAGAAGAACUUCUAGAAAAUUGGCUUGUUUCCCCACCCUAGGCCCUUUGGGCUUUCCUCUGUAAUGAUGGCCCUGUUUUGGGCUUUGCUGGCUAAGCCAAGCUUUAGGAGACAACUAAAAGUAUCUUUGUUCAUGAAGGGGUGGGGAGAGAGAGAGAGAGAGAGAGAGAGAGAGAGACUUUUGGCCAUGGAUGGAGAAAGAACAGAGUCGACGUAGGCAGUGAGAGAUGGAGAGAGCGAGAAAGACGAAGGGGAAUUGAAGGUUUUUUCUGGCCCAAAGAACAAAACCGACGCAGGUGGAAAGAGAUGGAGAGAGGGUUUGGAGAGAGAGAGAGAGGUUUAAGGAAUAGACUAGAAUCCUACACGUGUAUUGGUCAAUUGUUACUGUCACGCCCGAUCCUCGGGUACACGCCCAUCCCUCACUAUUGGUCGAUUAAUAGCGAUAUUUCAGGAUGCAUUGUCGACCAUUUCAUUUUAAUACACAUGUAGAAGUAGAUAAAAUAUCCCCAGACAAUAAAACAAUGAGACAGAAAAGUAAGGUUAUAUUUUUCACAACUAAAAAAUCACAACCGCACCUUUAUACAAGCAAACCUCAUACUAUUAAUAAGUCAGAUCUUUCAUAUAUCAGAUCACAACUUAGAGUUUGCAAAACAGGGCGAGGUCUCAGUCCCUCUCCUGGUCAUAUUCCGAAUCAUCCUCGAGAUCCUCUUUGGACACCUCCUUCAGUUCCUCAUCAGGGACUUCCUCUUUGGGUUCUUUCUCAUCAGGUUCCUUCUAAAAUGUUGUCCCACAACCGGGAUGAGAUUACGUUUCAGCAAGUUUUACCCCUCUAAGAUCUGAUUAGGAAGCCAAUACACUCUAGAGGUUGCCUAAGCACAACACGAAUUAAAUGACUUAUCUUGGCUUUAGUUCCUUCUUGUAAGUCAGUAUAUAACAGAUAUAUAGGAAUUACAUCAAUUCACAACAUCAAAUCAAAUCAUUGAUCAAUCGACCUAAUCGAUUACAUGUCAAGUAGAUCAUUUCCCAGUAAUCUCAAUCAAUAUUAUCUAUAAGUCUGAUCAUACCUAGGGUUGCUUAUUAUAAGCCGAUAAUAGAUAAUAUAGCUCGCCAGAAGUUGCCUUAAAUACUGAGAUAAUAUACUAUAUAUAUAUGCUCGCCAAGAGCUACCUUAAUUUCUGAUAUAGUAUAUUAUAUAUGCUCGCCAUAAGCUGUCAGACAUACUUUCAUAGUAUGCUGAGAAUUAUAUAUGCUUACCAAAAAUUGCUAGAUCCAUUGAUCCGCUAUUCUAUAUAUGCUCACCAGAAGCUGCCAUAUCAAUUGAUUCUCUAUUCUAUAUAUACUCACCAGAAGCUAUCAACUAUACUUUCCUAGUAUGCUGAUAAAUGUAUAUAUGCUCGCUAGAAGCUGUCGGCCAUACUUUCCUAGCAUGCUGAUAAUUGAUCAUUAUCACGACCUAAAUUUUGAGUGCACCACCUAAAAUUAAGUUAAUGAACUACUAAGUCUAACUUAGCUCGGGCUCUCCUAAGCUCAUACUAAUUUGCGACUUAGGUUUAAAUAUGUUGCCAUUAAUAAGUUUACGGUAAGUCGAUUAAACACUUAAGUAAAAUAAUGGGAGAAUUAUUUUACUUUUAAGAACUAGAGACUUUGGGUACGAGGACUUGAUUACGUUAGAUUUCUUUAACGCUCUUUCGGUACCUUUCUCUUUUAUUUUUAAAAAUGUUUGGCAAGCAGCUUGGAUUAAUUUUAAUUCACUUCUCUAACAUGUGAGGCGAUCAUGCGGGUACACAAACCAUCAAUUUAACACCUAGAUAAAAAGCAAUGAAUAAAUUGCAAAAACUAAUCUCAGGGCAAUGAAAACAUUUACAAUAUUAGAUCAUAAUUCAUAUCAGCAAUCCUAGAUAUAAUUUCUAAUUAACAGACACUCACUCAAUUUUUGUUUUUACUGAUUUAAUGAGAAUAUAAUCCAUAUGCAGUGCAAUGCUUCUAAUCUAAUAUGAAAUGAUAUGACAUAGUAGUAUAGCUUUAACUAUAUGAAUGAGUAAAGUAAUUUUUUUUAUGUUUUCUUAAUGAACAUGCAAUAAUUAAAUAUGUAAUCUAAAAUAACCAAAAUGACCUAAUCUUAAUGACGGUCAAUUUCUAAUUAAAUGAACCUAGCAACAAUCACUAACUGACAUGCAUUUCAUGAACCUAAUGCUAUAUGAUGUGCACAUGAUUUUUUUUUUUUAUUUUCUUAAUAAGCAUGCAAUCUAUCCUAAUAUGCAAUAAUGUGCAAAGAAUGCCCUAAUUCUAAUUUUUUCCUUUUUUAUUAUGAAAUUCGAAAUUAAAAUCGCCAAAUAAUUAAAUGUGCAAUGCAAAUUUAAAAUUAACAGCCUAAAUGAAUGCUUUUUUUUUUUUUUGAUUUUUAACAAAUUCGAAAUAAAAUCCCUAUUCUAAAUAUGCAAGAUAACAAGAGAUAUUCUAAAGCAAACCUAAUCUUGACUAAAAUAUUUUUUGGAUUUUUUUUCUUUUACAAAAGCAAAAUCGACUCAAACCACACGAUGGCAAAUCAGAAUAAGAUAAGAUUAAUAUCCAAAAAUUGAUGAACCAUAUCUUGCGCAUGAGAUCGGGUUGAUCAAUUUUAAAUAAACUGCGAAUCGAAUCUCGAGCGUGAGAUCGGAUUGGCGAUUUUCCGUGCGAUUGCGAGUCGGAUUUCGAGCGCGAAAAUCGGACUGUCAAUCGUAUGCACAUUGUGAAAUUAGGGAUUAAUCCCUAAUUUAAAAAGGCUACUCGAGAUUACGGACACUGCGUCGACGGAAUUUUCGGAAAUCAAAUUAGAUAAAUUUUUUACUUACUCUGAAUAUUAGCUUCCAAAUUUGGACUUUGCGCAAUCGGACUGGAAUCGCAACAGGGAAUGGCAGUGCCUAGUGAUUGAUGCAGUGCUCACGUGGUGAUUUGGCCGCAAUGCUCAAGAUUUGGGCCAUGGAAAGGCUUGCGGGCCUCGGUGAUGGAGUUGCUCACGGUGGGACUCCUCGACGUGCACCUCGGCAAGUUUGCAUUCUGUAUUUGAUGUUGACCAAGAACAAGCCAAAGGUGACUUGUAGCACUCGCGAGGAGGCAACCGCCGCAUGUGGUUGCUCUUGGAGAUCGACAGGGUCACGGAGCUAAGCAGCCGCAGCAGUUGUUGCACAUCACCGAAGACCUGCAAAGAAUGGAUCGAGCUCGGCAAGGAGAUGAUUCACGGCGGACCCAUGCUAUGGACAGCCGGGCAUCGGGAUGUCCAGAACCGAACGAGAAUCCGAGCCCUUUCAAUCUUCUCUUUAUAUAUAUGCACCGAGAUCUAUGGUGGAGGAUGAUGACUCAGUGGAGAUUCCGGCUCACUUCCCCAGGUUGUCUUUUUAUAAUACGCUUGCUAUGUGUACCCUCCUCAAGGUCCAGGCGGUGGAGAAAUUUUGACUGGCUUCGCUCGCCUAAUUCGGUCGUAAUCUUCGCCUGUGGAGAGAGAGAGACCGCAGGGGCUAUUGUUGGUGAAGACGCCAAGAAACGGAUUUUGCAGUUUUUUCUUCUGCAGUACCUCGACGUGACAUGAGCGUGAAAGGGAUCACGGAGAGCGAUACAAAGAGUUAUAGCUUCGGAAUGCAGGGUACUGCUCGCUUAGCUGGUGCUGUCGUCAAGGGGAUGGCUGACUUCCGGCUACAAGAGGGCGAUGCACAGCGUCCGCUCACGCAGCAAACAGUGUGGUGGAUGGCGAGGGCGAGGUGAGACCAGCAUCUCGACCAAGGGUUGGCCACGGGAGUCCCCUCUCUCCUCUCAAUUGUGGCCGUGUAAUUCAAUGUGUGGCCCCUUUCUCUUUUUAUCUUUUGUGGUCGUCAUGGACUCCUUUGCUGGGGCUGCACUUCGAGGGAACCAGAACCACGAAGACCAGACUCUGUGACUCGCCAAUAUUGGAUUUGUUCAAGUUGACGCAGCGAAGUCUGGUGCCUCGUUGACGCUGGUUGGCGUCAAGAUUUUGACAGCAAACUCAUUCGGGAAGCUGUAGCACCAGUGGAGACCGCAGGGGCGUUGUUCAGCAAGGAGAGGCGCUAGCUAAGGGUGUCUCGGCCGUGAAGAGCUUUUGGUGGAGCUCCCUCUCCCCUGUCAAUUCUCGCGUGUUUUCUCUGAUGUGAUCUCUGCGAUUCUCUCUUUACUUUUUUCAACUUUUGUGUUUCUCUUUUCCUCGAACGAAGAGAAGCCCCCACUAUUUUCGUACGCGCACAACUCAUUAUAUAGGAGAGGGAAUUAAAUUUUGGUGAAAUAUUUCAUUUUCAAUUUUUUUUUUUAUGAUAACUCACUGAAUCCCGUAAGCUAACAGUUGGCAAGCAAAUCCUGGGAGAGCGGUUGCAGACCCAUCAUCAUAGUUCUCCAAGUAAGAAUCCCUAAUGACACAUUUGAAAUUCGAAUUCCUUCCCUUCGUGAGGGGAAGAGAGCCUAAGUCAGCUGUGCCACUGUGGGCGGUGGUUAAAUUUUUUUAUUAUUUUUUUUCACUUCUAAUUUUGUUUAUGCAUAAUCCCCUGAAUAUAUCGUUGCACCCUGCGCAAUAUUCCCUUUCGUAUUUUUCAAAUAUUCCAACCAAAAACUUCAUUUCUACCCAAGAAUAUACCUCUAAAUGUAUAUUACCUAAAUAUGUGAAAAAUUCCACAUGAAUAUGCUCGCCGUGGGUCCAAUGCUAAAUGCAAAAAUUGCAAAUUAAAAAUAAAUGCACCUAAAUUUAUAUGUUAUGCAAGUAAUAUUUUUUAAGGGAUAAAAUUAACCCUUAAUUUUUAAUGCGAUAAAUGAUUAAUGGAUUGCUAAAAUUUAGGUAUCAACAAUCAUUUAAUCAAUUUACCAUUUUUAUCAUUUGGGUACACGGUCGGCUUUAGAAAAAAUAUAAGAUUUUCACUUUUGAACCUCCUGCUAUUUUUAGCAGUCCCAAAAUAGAUUUUUGGCAUUGUAAACUGACGCUCAGUAAUUUUCCAUUUAAUUACCAAAUUUAAUCAAUUUCUGAAAUAAAUACCCACAACUACUAUUUGCACUCAAUUUGCAUAAUUGGUACUCAAUUAAAUAAAUAGAGAGCACCACUGCAAUCGGUAGGAAAUUUCGGUCAUCGGUUAUCUCAGCUUAAUUUUAGGAAUAUAAAUAAAUAAAUAAAUAUGGACAUUAUUAAAUAAAUGUAAUAAAUCCAAUUUAGGCAUGUAAUGCCUAAUUGGAAGCCGAGAUGAGUCUGGAAAAUUACCGAGACUCGUUCAAUAAAUACCAGGACCUAUUUCAUUGCUAAUUAUACUAUCUAUUUGCCUAAUAUGCAUUGAUAAGUCUCUAAUUUAAUUAUUCUAAUAUAAUCUAUCCACCUAAUUGUACUUAAUUAAAUCCAGGGAUAAGUUCUGUGGAAGUCCUAAAACUUGUUAUGAAAAUGUAUUUGAGUUUUAAAACUUGUAGAAAAUGCAAAUAAGUCAUAAAACUUGUUAAAAUAAUUUAUUUGAGUUUUAAAAUCAACGUCAUUAGCCUUUUCCGUUAAAAAUGCUGAUGUGGCAUUUAAAAUUAAUUUUUAUUUUCCACGUGAUUUUUUAAAAUAAUUUUUUAUUCAUUUUAAAAAAUAGAUUAAAAAAAUAGAUUUAUUCAUUUUAUCUUAUUUUUAACAAUUUUUUUUAAAAAAAGUGAAAAUGUAUUUAACAAAGAAAACAAUUAAAAAAAAAAGAAAAAAAAUGGUAGCCUCGCCGAAGGGACCGGCAACGACUGCCGCCCUUGACGCAGGUGGUCGGCCCUCGCCAAGCUCGGGUGAGGGUUCUCAGAUCUGGGCAUGCCGGCCCUCGCGGGGGGGCUGGCGGCCGUUGCCUGGUCUGGGUGAGGCAUCGCCGGCCCUCGCGAGGGGCCAGCGAUUGUCGCUCACCCUGGGUGAGUCGUCGUCGACCCCUUGACGAGAUUUGGCAAGCCUUGCCGGCCCCGAGCGAGGGUCAAUGAGGCGUCACCUAGGGUGGGGGACGCCUCGCCCAGGCUGGGCAACGGUAGCCAGCCCCUCGCAAGGGCCGGUGUGCCUAGAUUUGGGCACCCUCACCCGAGCUUGGCGAGGGUCGCCGGCCCUUGCCCUAGCGGGGGAGGGCCAACCACCUGCGCCCAGGGCUGGCGAUGAUCAUUGGCCCCUCCGGUGACGGUCACUGGCUUGUCUGGCGAGGCUACCAGUUUUUUCUUAUUUUUGAAUUUUUUUCUUUUUUAAAUAAAUUUACAUUUUUCCUUUUUUUGUUGAAAAUAGGGAUAAAUACAUUAUCAGUGUCAUAAGUUGUGUAUGGCGCUCACUUUCGUGUCAAAAGUUUCUGUUGGAUCACUUAAGUACCAAAAAGUUUGAAAAACGCUCACUUUGGUGCCAACUCCGAUUUGGUUGGCCAAAAAUCCAAUUUGACACUUUUGUUAUUAAUUUUUGAAGCUGAUGGGGCUCGCUAGAGAGUACAGUUAGCAUCCUAACACCAAAACGACGCCGUUUGGUGUCUCCCCUAAUUCAAAAUCCUAACACCAAAAUGACGCCGCUCGUUGUCCUCGACGGCCCCCGCGCUCAACGGCCGUGGCUUUGACUUCGACCCCGACGAUGGCCACUUGGCGGCCGUAGCUCUGACCCGACCUCGACCUCAACCCUGAUCGCAACGAUGGCUACUCGGCGGCCGCGGCUCUAACCCCGACCCCAACCCCGAUAAUGGCCACUCGGUGGCUGCGGUUUUGACCCCGACCCCGACCUCGAUGAUGGCCACUCAGCGGCCGCGGCUCCAACCUCGACCUUGACCCCAACCCUGACGACGGCCACUUGGCAACCAAGUCAAAGGCCGUGAUCUAGCUGGUGCUCGGGGAGGCCGUUGACGAGUGCGCCACCAUUAAUAUCUCCCUCUCCAUCUUUAAUCUCCUUGACGAGUGCCUGGUCUGCGUCUUCCAGUACCUAGGCUCCGGCGACUGAGGCUGGUGCUCCCUCGUGUGCCAUCGAGGGCAUCCAAAUAGUACUAAGCAAUGGCGGCUGAGCGAGCGACGGCGGAGGCCGAGCGACGAAACCCUAAAUUCAAUCCCCAAAUAAAAAAAAAAUCCCCAAAUGAGUUAAACGGCGUCGUUUUUGUGAGGCCAUCCAUGUAGGACGGCAAAACGACGUUGUUUUCUUAAGGAAGACCGAAAACGACGUCGUUUAAGGCCUUGUAGAUUAUUUAUUUUUUAUUUUUAUAAAAAGCCACGUAAUCAUUUUGGCCAGAAUCUUUCACCAGUGGCACCAAAGUGAUCGUGUUUUCUUCGAUUUGGCACUUAAGUGAUCUGACGGAAAUUUUUAGCACCAAAGUAAGCGCCGUACACAGCUUAUGGCACUGAUAAUGUAUUUCUCCAGUUGAAAAUAAGAUAAAAUGAAUAAAUAUAAUUUUUUAGUUUUUAAAUCUAUUUUUUUAAAUGAAUAAAAAAUAAUAAUAAAAAAGCCAUGUGGAAAAUAAAAUUUAUUUUUAAAUGCCACGUUAGCAUUUUUAAUGGAAAAGACUAACGGUGUUGAUUUUAGGACUCAAAUGAAACAUUUUGACUAGUUUUAGGACUUAUUUGCACUUUUUGCAAUUUUUAUAACUCAAAUGCAUUUUCGCGAUAAGUUUUAGAACUCAUGCAGCACUUAUCCCUUAAAUCUAAUCAACCCCUAAGCAUUAUUAGCAUACUAAUAAGGGAUUAGUGAGCAAAACUCAACUUGAUGAACGAGCAGGUCAGAUCAAACUGAUGGGAACGUCGCGGGAGAUGUUUCUUCUCAAGCGGGCCUACGCUUCGAGGCUCGAAACCACCUCAAAACAGACCUGACACUUUGCUGGAAACCCACUGUUUUCUCCCCAUGAUUUGAGCUGCAAAUAAGGGAAAUAAAGUUGGUUUGGUGUGAGAAUGGCGACGGUGGACUGGUGGAUGGCUUGAAGAGGUAAUCAGCAGCUGAACGGCGAAGAAACGGGUUGAUCAGAGCUCCGGCGAGUGGGUGGUCGGCAACCGAUGGCUCUCGGGGUCAAGAGAGGAUGUGCUGGUGGUUGGAAUGGGUAAAGGAAUGGUCGAAAUUGGGAGAAACUCAUGAACAAUGCGAAAUAGUUCACUUGGUAGGGCUCUAGACGGUACCGGACGAUCGGCGGCUUUGUUCGAGGCGAGGUCGGGCUUGUUAAAAUUAUGUCUCAAGUUUUUCGUGAGAAAAGAAGAAAUACAAAAUUAAAUAUUUGAAGGGAAAUUUUUCUUUUUUUGCCAUUGCGGAAUCCGAAUUGAAGAAGUAUUUCUUCUUUGGACGUCUACGCUGAAGUCUCCGAGGUUCUGUUUUCUUUGGAUAGCCAAAUUCUUCUUAUCCAAGUGGGGCCCAAAAGUCAACAAACUCACAUAUGAAGAAAGAAGUCCUCUGCAUGCAUCCGUAAGAAUUUGAAAGAGAAGACGGUGGGCCCAAGUAAAACAGUUUUUUCUUUUGCCGAUCAAGAAUCCGCUUGAAGCAUGCACGCGGAGCGGAAGCAAAGAGAUGGUGGGCCCAGGUCAACUAUUUGACCUGUGGGCACCCAAAUUUCCUUUUACGGCGUCCAUGAAGUCGGUUUUUAAAGAAAUAAAAACCCUACGAAAAGAAGCCACCGAAGAGAGACGCACGACGAAGGCCUACGAAGCAAGGAGCUGCAUGUCCACGUCGUUUGCUGAAGCCCUACGAAGAGGAUACAUAUGUGAAGACGCUGUUCUUGUUUGACGUACGUAGACCGUUUCGUUCGAACUUUGAAUGCACGGUAAUUUUGUGCCAUGAGUUUAUUCCCAAGAGAGUUGUUAUUUAUACACUUAGGGUUUGGAGUUAAAUCUAGGUGCGGGAAACACUUGAGCGAUUGAGCGGUUAUAAAACUCUGAUUCUCUGAUUUUAGUGGAUUAUUUGCUGCUGGCUCUCCCCGUGGACGUAGGUACCGAUACUCGGACUAAACCACGUAAAUUUCUGGUGUCCUGAUUUUCUCGUUUAAUUCUUUGGUGAUUUCGCAUUGACGUAAUUUACAAGAUCCUAUCAUUUCCACGUAAUAUAUCCCAACAAUUGGUAUCAGAGCGUGGGGUUGGAUUUCUUGAUUGUGAUUUGGGGCUUUUGCUUGUCUGAUUAUUAUCUGGAAAUUCUGUUAUUGCAAUUAUGUCUGAGAGAAAAUCUGAGAUUGAGAACUUUGAUGGGAAAAACAACUUUGUGUUAUGGAGCAUCAAGAUGCGAGCUUUAUUGACAACACAAGGUUUGCUCAAGGCACUGGAUGGUGAGGAUGAGUUACCAAUUAUAAUGAAAGCCUCAGAGAGGGUAGAGCUUAUGCAAAAAGCAAAGAGCACAAUCCUGUUAAAUUUGUCAGAUGAGGUAUUACUAGAGGAUAUUGAGAAGAAGGAUGCCGCAGCAUUAUGGGCAAAACUCCAAGCACUCUAUGUGAAGAAAUGUUUGAACAAUCGCUUGUAUAUGCUGAAGAAGAUGUUUCAAUUUUGAUAUACUGAAGGUACGUCUAUCAGAACCCACCUAGAUGAAUUUAAUAAACUCAUGUUGGAUCUGAAGAACGUUGGUAAGAUACUUGAUGAUGAAGAGCAGGGCAUGAUGUUGUUAGCCUCUUUAUUAGAGUCAUGGGAGGACUUUACUGAUUCACUGUUGCAGGGGCAUACUACUAUUACCUCAGAAGAGGUAAAGUCCGUCUUAUUCUCUAAGGAGUGGCAGAGAAAGUUGCGAGAUGAAUGUCUGGCGAAAGGAGCAGUGCAAGCACUGACGAUUCGGGGUUGAGAACAAUAUCAAGAGCCUAGUAGCAGCAGAGGUAAAAACAUAUCGAAAUCACGCAAUAGAAAGUCCAAAGGACGCGUGAAGUGCUUUGAGUGUCACGAGGAGGGGCACAUUAGGAGAGAUAGUCCAAAGCGGAGAAAUAAAGUUGAUAAGCAAAAUGCUACAAGUAGUGUGGCAAACGUUGCUGAGGGGAGCAAUAGAGAUGCAGAAGCUGUUUUAUGUGUGACUGCUACUUCGUCAGGAGACGAAUGGGUGCUAGAUUCGGGGUGUUCUUAUCACAUGACGUCUCAUAAGAACUUGUUUACUACUUACCAAGCUGCAGAUGGUGGUAGGGUUGUUUUGGGGAAUAAUGCAGUCUGUAAGGCUGUGGGGAUAGGGACAAUUCGGAUCCGGAUGCAUGAUGGGGUGGUUCGCACAUUAACAGAUGUGAGGCAUGUACGGGAGGUCAAGAAGAACCUUAUUUCUCUGGGGACACUCGAUGAGAUCGGGUGUAGGUACACCGCUGAAGGUGGAGUACUGAAGAUCUCUCGAGGUGCCAUGAUAGUGAUGAAAGGAAGGAAAGUGAAUACUCUCUAUCAUCUACUGGGAGAGACCGUGACUGGAAGUGCUGCUGUUUCAUCAGGUGAGUCAGACUCUAACUUGACUCAAUUAUGGCAUAUGCGUUUGGGGCACAUGAGUGAGGCAGGCAUGACGAUGCUGAGUGAAAGGGGGUUGUUGAGUGGUCAGAAAAUAGGAAAGCUGGACUUAUGUGAGCACUGCAUCUAUGGGAAGCAGCAUCGAGUUAAGUUUACAACAGCUAUUCAUUCGACCAAACGACCAGUUGAAUAUCUUUAUUCAGACGUCUGGGGCCCGUCUUCAGUUCCUUUGAAAGGAGGUGCCCGAUAUAUGCUGACUUUUAUCGACGAUUAUUCGAGGAAGGUAUGGGUAUACUUUCUGAAACACAACUAUGAAGUGUUUGAUCGGUUCAAGAAAUUUAAGGCAUUGAUUGAGAAGCAGUCAGAUAAGCAAAUCAAGUGCUUAAGAACCGAUAAUGACAUGGAGUUUUAUGGUAAAGAUUUUACCGAGUUCUGCAAGAAAGAAUGUAUUGUAAGACACCGCACAGUACCUGGGACACCACGGCAGAAUGGCGUGGCAGAACAAAAGAACAUAAUUUUGCUUGAGCGAGCUCGAUGCAUGCUUUCGCAUGUAGGACUUGGCAAGGAAUUUUGGGCUGAAGCUGUGAAUAUGUCAUGUUACCUGGUAAAUCGAUCUCCAUCGUUUGCUAUCGAGUGGAAGAUUCCUGAGGAAGUAUGGUCGGGAAAACAUGUUGAUUAUUCCAGAUUACGUAUAUUCGGAUGUCCUGUGUAUGCUCAUGCGAGUGAUGCUAAGCUUGAGCCGAGGGUGAAGAAGUGCAUAUUUUUGGGUUAUGCACUAGGGGUGAAAGGCUACCGACUGUGGUGCACUGAUCCCAGAUCACCCGGUUUUCUAAUCAGCAGAGAUGUGAUCUUUGACGAGACUGCAAUGCAUCAACAGAGGAGUUCUGAGACACAACCAACAGAGAAGACAGAUCAUGGUGUCAUUAGUGAGAUGGAGCUUCAGGUGGAGACUCCAGAGACCUCGAAGGUAAUAGAAGUUGAGACUGCAAAUGAAGCCGCAAUUUCUAAAGUCGGUGAUAGUGAACAACCAGCAAAGCCACAGCAGACUAUAGCCGCAGAUAGAGAGAGAAGGCAAAUUAAACUACCGGUACGUUAUGGUUAUACAGAUAUUGCUUAUGCAUUAACUGUAGGUGAUGAGGUGGAGACAAAUGAGCCUUCGUCUUACUCUGAGGUGAUGGCUAGUUCGGAGUCAUUGCAAUGGCUAAGGGCUAUGAGUGAAGAGAUGGAAUCACUCCAUCGAAAUCAGACAUGGGAGCUGGUCAAAGUACCCAAGAGCCAAAAGAUUGUCGGAAGUAAAUGGGUCUUCAAACGGAAAGAGAGCAUUCCUGGUAGGUAGCGAGGUAUAAGGCGACACUUGUAGCGAAAGGGUAUACACAGCGUGAGGGCAUUGACUACAAUGAGGUGUUCUCUCUUGUGAUAAGACACACUUCUAUUCAUGUUUUACUUGCCUUAGUUGCUUCGUAGGAUCUCUAGUUAGAGCAGCUAGAUGUGAAAACUGUGUUUCUUCACGGUGAGUUAGAGGAGCAGAUUUAUAUGAGGCAACCCGAGGGAUUUGCUAUUCCGGGUAAGGAAGAUCAUGUUUGCUUGUUAAAGAAAUCUUUGUAUGGGCUGAAACAAUCUCCUAAGCAGUGGUAUAAACAUUUUGAUGCUUUUAUGGCUAGUCAAGAUUAUUCAAAAAGUCAGAUGGACAGCUGCGUUUACUUUAGGAGAUUGGAGAAUGGUUCUUUGAUUUAUCUACUUUUAUAUGUUGAUGAUAUGCUGAUAGCAGCUAAGGAUAUGUCUGAUAUUAAUGUGCUGAAGAGGCAGUUGAAUUUUGAAUUUGAGAUGAAAGAUUUAGGUGCAACAAAUAAACUUUUGGGUACGGAGAUUUUGCGUAACAGGACUGCAGGAGUUUUACGUUUGUCUCAAAAGAAAUACAUUGAGAAGAUUGUGGCACGUUUUAACAUGCAGUUGGCGAAAUCUGUAAGUACACCUUUAGCGAAGCACUUUAAACUUUCAGAUAAAUUAUCACCGCAGACUGAGGAGGAGGAGGAGCAUAUGUCUCGUAUUCCUUAUUCUAGUGCCGUGGGUAGUAUUAUGUAUGCUAUGGUGUGCACUAGAUCUGAUAUUUCACAAGCUGUGAGCGUGGUUAGUCACUAUAUGAAGCGUCCUGGUAAAACUCAUUGGGAAGUUGUGAAGUGGAUCCUCAGAUAUUUGAAUUGGACAACAGAUGUGGGUAUAGUGUACCAGAGGAACAGCAAUGGCAGUGAGACCACUGAUUUUGUGGAUUCGGAUCAUGUCGGUGACUUGGAUGAUCGCAAAUCUUUAGCAGGGUACGUGUUUACGCUAGCAGGUGGUGUAGUUAGUUGGAAAGCGUCCUUACAAGAUCACAUUGCCUUGUUUUCGACUGAGGCAGAGUACAUGGCACUGACCUUUGUAGCGAAGGAGGCGAUAUGGUUACAAAGUUUGCUCUUGUACUUUGGGUUAGAACAGAAAAGUGUGGAUAUAUACUGUGAUAAUCAAGGUGCGAUAUAUUUGGCGUAUAAUCCAGUUUAUCAUGAGCGAACGAAGCAUAUCAACAUCAGGUACUAUUUCAUCCGAGAUGUCUUAGCUAAGGGUAUUGUUAUUGUUAAAAAGAUUGCUACAGUAGAUAGCCCAGCAGAUAUGAUGAGUAAGUCUGUUCCUUUGGCGAAGCUCAAGCUUUGCUUGAGCUUUAUUGGCGUCUGUGGAGAGUAAGCGCCCGUCGGGGCGUUGAGAGAGCAGCAUGGAUGAUGAGCACUAUAACUUGGCUUCAAACAUCGAGCCAAGGUGGAGAAUUGUUAAAAUUAUGUCUUGAGUUUUUCGCGAGAAAAGAAGAAAUAUAAAAUUAAAUAUUUGAAGCGAAAAUUUUCUUUUUUUGCCGUUGCGGAAUCCGAAUUGAAGAAGUAUUUCUUCUUUGGACGUCUACGCUGAAGUCUCCGAGGUUCUGUUUUCUUUGUAUGGCUGAAUUCUUCUUAUCCAGGUGGGGCCCAAAAGUCAACAAACUCACAUCCAAAGAAAGAAGUCCUCUGCAUGCAUCCGUAAGAAUUUGAAAGAGAAGACGAUGGGCCCAAGUAAAACAACUUUUUCUUUUGUCGAUCAAGAAUCCGCUUGAAGCCUGCAUGCGGAGCGGAAGCAAGGAGAUGGUGGACCCAGGUCAACUAUUUGACCUGUGGGCACCCAAAUUUCCUUUUACGACGUCCAUGAAGUCGGUUUUUAAAGAAAUAAAAACCCUACGAAAAGAAGCCGCCGAAGAGAGACGCAUGCCGAAGGCCUACGAAGCAAGGAGCCGCACGUCCGCGUCGUUUGCUAAAGCCCUACAAAGAGGAUACAUACAUGAAGACGCUGUUCUUGUUUGACGUACGUAGAGCGUUUCAUUCGAGCUUUGAAUGCGCGGUAAUUUUGUACCAUGAGUUUAUUCCCAAGAGAGUUGUUAUUUAUACACUUAGGGUUUGGAGUUAAAUCUAGGUGCGGGAAACACUUGAGCAAUUGUAAUUCUCCGAUUUUAAUGGAUUAUUUGCUGCUGGCUCUCCUCAUGGACGUAGGUACCGAUACUCGAACCGAACCAAGUAAAUUUCUGGUGUCGUGAUUUUCUCGUUUAAUUCUCUGGUGAUUUUGUAUUGACGUAAUUUGCAAGAUCCUAUCGUUUCCGCGUAUUAUAUCCCAACAGGGCUUGAUGGAAUGAUCUGAAUGUCCUCAUCAUGGUGAUGGGUGGCUCAUUCGUUGAUUCAUUCGGGAAGUCGACUUUUUACUCGGAUGUUUGGCGAAAGGUCAGUUGGAGUAGAAAUUGGCAGAAGUAAAAAUAGAGGAGGAAAACGGUCCGGCGGUGGUGUGGCUACUCCAGCAACUUCCUUGGCUGCUAGUGGUCUUCGGACAACAAGGAUGGAGGGAGAGAGAGAUGGCUUGGAUGGUAAUGAGGGAGAGAGAGAAGGAAAAGAUGAGGUUGGAGUUGGAAGGAUAAGGAAAAAAGGGCUCCACAUUUGCUUAUCUUUCAAAGCUUUGUCUCAUUGACUCAUCCAUAGCCAUGAACACCUUCCUUGGCUCUUAAUGAGCCACCAAGGCUCUCUUUGCAACAUUGAUUUGGUCCAAAAUGGCUAGGGGAAGGGGGCAUACAAAUUUGAGGGGCUUUGGCUUUAACUAGACAUAGUUUCAUCUUCAAUUCGAUCUCAUAUGGCCUUUAUAAAUUCAAUUGAUAUCUCAAUACUCCAAUUGAUAUUUUUCCUCACCUAUGAAUCCAUCUUGCAUUUUAAAUACGCGAUAAAAAACGAUCACAACCUUUUUCUUAACAAAAAAGGUCCUAUGUCAACUUUUUUCUCAAAAAGUCUCGGGUUUUAGAAAAAUCUUUUGAGACUAAGUUGACGCUCCUAAAAUUUAUUGUGACAUGAAAAAAUCCUCAAUUUCUAAAAUUGGACUUAAAUUCGCGAUUAAUUUCACUCAUAUGCGUUUUUAGCGUGACCUAGACUACCGAUUAAUUUUUAGAGAUUUUUCGUGCAAAUGACCUGUUGUUGAUUUUCUUCGAGUCACAAUGAAACCACUUGACAUUGGCGACUCUCGGUGGCAGUGAAAAUUUCAACGUUUCAAUUACGGACACAGGGUACCCGAAACGACAGAAAAUCGAUCUAAUGUCAUUCGACAAGAAUUUUGCCAUCAGGUGGAAUCAUCCAUAUUUUGAUCACACAUUUUUGUCGAAAUGACAUAUCCUUGAUUUUUGAUCGAUUUUGACAAUGCUGUAAUGACUCUUGCAGACUAGCACGAUCGAAUAGUCGACUUCUUGUCGAAUUCUUAAGUCCAUUGCAUUGAAAUCUUUUAACGACUUCCCAAGAGAGUUUAGUUAUCUCACGAGUGAUCGAUUCUGAGAAUAGCAUUAUAGACGCGUUGAUGAAAUGCCUGAUUUAUUCAAUUGAAAAUAGUACUGGAAAUUCAUGAUGUUAUAGUUACGUGUCAUUAAACUUAAUAAUUUGAUAAUAAAAUUUAACGAAAACUAAUAGAGGGUAAUUUGUCACAAGUGUGCCAGUUUGGAGUUUUUGAUAGUUAAAAAAAAUAGCAUGGAGUAAAUUUAUCGCAAGUGUACCAGUUUGGGAUUUUUUAGGGUAUUAACCCAUUACAUUAAUAUGGUUGGUUACAAACAAAAUUUCUUAUUUAAUAUAACAACGAUAAUAAAUAAAUUUUUAAUUGGUAUUGAGUUUCUACAAUUUACAUUAUCAUAUGAUGCAAGUUAAGCAUUCGAAUUAUGUUUAGUUUUAAAAAAGCAAGAUUGGCAUGAAUUAAGUAAUAAUUUGACAAAUUGGUUUAUAUUAAAAUACACAUUCCAAUUUUGCACUACAAGUCCUUGUGAUAUAUAGGUAUGUUAUUAGUGUACAAAAACUCAUGCCUUGUGUUCAAGAAUUCACUCGAGUGUGUGAAAUGAUUAGUGUGACAUGCAACGUGCUACAAACUUAACAAAAACAUAUAAUCAUAAUGGCCUUUUAGUGAAAAUUUAAUUUUUGGAUGAAACGUACAAAAUGCCAAUGUUGGAUGAAAAAAAGUGGUUCUUUUACAAUUUUUUUAUCACUUAAUUUUUUAUAUUAUAAAACUUGUUGCCAUUACAUAUUGUUGUGGAUUAAUCACAUAGUAUAAAGUGAAAAUACAAAUUGCAUAACAUAAAUGUCCAAGGAGUACUAAUGUUGUGGAAGAUUGGGCUGCACGUGCCCAUUGAGAAAAGAACUUAUGGAAAAUUGGCUUGUUUCCCUACCCCAGGCCCUUUGGGUUCUCCUUUGUGAUGAUGGCCCUAUUUUGGACUUUGCUGGCUAAGCCUAGCUUUAGGAGACAAUUAAAAGUAGCUUUGUUCAUGGAGGGGGGAAGAGAGGGAGAGAGAGAGAGAGACUUUUGGCCAUGGAUGGAGAAAGAACAGGAUAAGUAUACUAAUGACACUAUAAGUUGUGUACGGCGCUCAUUUUGACGCUAAAAGUUUCCGUCGGAUCACUUAAGUGCCAAAUAUUUUGAAAAACGCUCACUUUGGUGCCAACUUCGAUCUGGUUGGCCAGAAAUCCGACGUGACAUUUUUUUAUUAAUAUUUGAAGCCGACGUGGAUUGCUAGAGAAUACAAUCAGCAUGCAAACAACAAAACGACGUUGUUUAGCAUCUUUUCCCAUAAAUAAGAACUCUAAAUCCCCAAAUUUGAGUAGAAUCGGAAAUUGAAAAUCCUAAAUCCCCAAUUCGACCAAUUCGAGUGCAUACUUUGGUUUUCUCUCAAAGUUAUCAGCUCGCUCUUAAGAAUGGAGGGCAGAAGCUUCAGUAGUAGCUCACAUUCCUAUAAAAAAAACGAAUCAGAUGGUGAGUGUUACUAUUAUUGUGGGUUAUUGAGUCUGAGAAGAAUAUCUCGGACUUGGUUGAAUCCUGGGAGAAGAUUCCAUGGGUGCGGCAAAUAUAGAGAAGGCUCAAAGUGCAAAUAUUUCAAAUGGGUUGAUAGGCAAUUCUCUGAUCGAGUGACAGAGGUGAUCCUAGAGUUACUUGAAGGCCGAAAUCAACCUCUACCUAUAUUAAUGGACGAGUUUUAGGAUGUCAAUUCAAUACAAGCUCAAAUGAAUGGUUUAACAUCUCUAGUCGACCAUUUGAAAAGGGAGGUUUCAAGGUUGAAAUUUGAAAAAAAAACUUUUAUCGAGCGUUGAUUGUGUUCUUAUUCUCUUAUGUAGUUUAUUCAAAUGUGAAGUGAGCAAUGAGAAGGAGUUUGUAUGUCUAUCAUUUUUGUAUGAAGCAGGAGGUUUUGUUGUAAUCUAUGGUAGAAAUGCAAGGUUGGAGUUGAAAUGCAUUAAUUGUGAGCAUUUCAGAAAUGCAAUGUUUGCUUGCUGCAUUUUUUAUUUGCUUUCCUGAUUUGCUAGUUUGUUGGUUUGCUGCAACUGUAAACCAUGGUAAAAUUGAAUGUUGGAGUUGGAAUUCAUUAGUGCUGAGCACUUUUUAUUAUUUAGUUGUGUAUUGGUAAUGUUUGUUUUGGUUAGUUUUUGCUUCAAAUAGAAUGGUAGCUAUAUUUUUAUUGUUGUAACGGUUUGCUGGUUUGCUGGUUUGUGCAACUACAAACCAUGUCAAAAUUAAGGGAUGGUGGCAAAUUAACGAUUGACCAUUUCAGUGCCAAAAGUUGUAAACAGUGAUCGUUUGAGUGUUAAGUUUUGAUAAAAGUGAUCAUUUAAGUGCCAGUCGCGAUUACAAAGUGAUUACUUCUGUUGCACAAGUUGUAAAUAGUGAUCGCUUGAGUGCCAAUUUCAAACUUGCACUAGUUGUGGUGCAUCUUACAUCUUGUUCUUGCACUAGUUGGCUUGCUAUUGCAUUUUCUUGCAACACAGUAACUCUACAAUGAGAUGCACCAGCACCUAUAACUACAUCUUUUUCCAGCACAUACAACCAUAACCCCAUAGAUAGCAUCAAUGCACGCAUUAAUUGCAUCUUAUUCUAGCAUAUACAACUAGAACCCCACAGAUAGCAUCAACGCAUCAACAAUUUGAACCAUCAACACUAUAUGCACACAUUUAAAUCUAAAAAUAAUAGCAACCUCAUAAGAACAUUGCACCAACAAAAAAAAAAUAUACAGCAUAACUGAUAACUAUCUUGCUAGUUAUUAGCCGAAAUCAAGCUAAGAGAAAAUAACAGAAACAACUAUUGUCAUUGACAUUGAUUGAUUGUUUACAAAAGAAAAGAAAAACAUGAACUCCACUCCCCAAUCACUGAAGGUUCAGCACCUUCUUAAAAAAAAACUAAUGGCAAUAUGGAGGCAGCAACUACCAUCAGUGAUAUAAUAUCUAGUACCCUCCUAAAAAAAAAACAUAAAAAGAGAGACCAUAUCCAGCACCACAUAAAAAUAAACUAUGUCAAGCACCCUCCCAUCAGCAGCACCACAUAAAAAGAGACCAAGUUCAGCACCCUCCCAUUAGUCAAUAUGGACAAUACCCUGAUCUCCUUUUCGUCUUGGGGCUUUGAAUUGAUUCAUAAUUUAAGCACUCUUUCGAACUGGAUGCACAUGAUCUUUAACUGGGCGUUCUAUCACCUCAUUUUCCUUAUUUUUAACGGUGACUAUUCUUGUUCUAGCACGUGUCAUGUGUUGGUUCAUAUCAUCACUAUCGCGCCCAAUCGUUGGUUGAGAUGGAACUGGUGCCGAGUUUUGUUUGGAUGGCUGUUUUGCAGCUAUACCCACUGUCUUCUUCUUUGGAGCACUCCUUUUGGCUGCGCCAUUGAUUCUUGAGUUGGCCUACCUUGAAAGAGAAAUACCUCUGAAGUUCUCCCAGUCUACAAAAGCAUAGCGAUAUUGUCAACCAAAUGAAUUGAAGCACAACAAAUUAAAUGCAUGGGGCCUACAAAUCUUACAUUCAAAAUAGUCAUUCCAGUUUGUUCAUAUGUGUAAAUCCCAUAACCAUAUUGCCUAAAUCUUUUUCCAAUAGCCCCUCUUGUUCGCUAUGGUGCAUCAUUUUCAGUAGUAACAGAUGGGGGAGCAGUCUCUGCAACUUGUGCAGUUGCUCGUAUUCUCACAUGAGAAACACAUAACAAAUUUAAAAUUCAGCCCAUAAAAGACAAACACAACAAUGUACAACUUACAUGAACUUUUUUUUUUUCUCGUUUGUUCAACAGUUGACUCAGUUGUUGUUGUUGUCCCGCCUGUUCUAGUCCAUGUUCCUACACUUGAGCCUACAAUAGGGUUUUUUUCUAGCCCUUUAGAAGGUCUUACAAUAAUGUACUAUAUUAGGAUCAUGACCAACUACAAUGAAUAAUUAGACAUAUACUCAUUUUCAUGGUGGAAACAAAUGGAGAAAACUUAUCAAAUUACAAGUGCAUGAUAGAGGAAAAACACAAGAGAAGCCAGUACACAUGGUCAACCAUCAAACUCUAUUGAAUAGGAAAUGUAAAGUUACUAAGUUAAAGAUGAUACUUACCUUACAACAAGGCUUUCUGUUUGCCCUUCAGUAGGCACUACUGCAGGUUCUUCUGUCCUACCUUCACUAGGCUCAACAAGAAGCUCUUUAGUAGAGCCUUCUGUCCUAUCUUCAGCUCUUACAUCUUGCUGUUGAUGCUGCAUUUUCAACUCACAAUUUUUCUUAUUGUGCCAUUCCUUGCGGCAAUAAGCAUUUCAUCUUUGAGCUAGUCUUACUCAUCCUUUGACUUGAUGCCUCUUCUUGCUGCAUUCUUCUUUUCUUUUUUGGCCUUCCAAUUUGUUUUUUCAGUGGGAAAGGUAGAGGGCUUUCAUGAUUUGUUGGUUCACAAAAUUUGUUACUUCUGACAAGCUGCAUCAUAAAUUGGUAUGAAGUAAGGUAUGAGCUUUUUUUGUACCAAUCAUGUAGGUAAUCAUCUGGAUUUUCUUACUUCAUCUGAAUAGCACAAAUUGCAUGGGCAUAGGGAAUUCCAUUCAGUUGCCAGGCUCGGCACGAACACUUUAUUCUAUUCAGGUCGACAGCAUAUUUAUCCUGAUUUUGAAUAAUCUCAUAUUCAUUAUCUCCAUUCCAAGCUAGAUGACAUAACCUACUAGUAGCAAUGUUUGCAUCAAAUCUCUUCAUAAUCCUAGGGCCACAGUCUCUAGUCCAUUUCGUAGCCUCAUCUUUUUGCCUAUGCAGUUUAGUCAUUACCAUCACUCCAAUAUCAUCAAGCAUGCUGAUGAUUGAUUUGCACCUGGCCUCUAAAAUUCUGCAAUUGAAAGCUUCACUGAGGUUGUUACCAAUGAUAUCGCAUUUGAAUUAUUCGUUGAAGAAUGCCCGACACUAGUGCUUAGCUUCUGUCUAGAAGAGUGCAUCAAAACCUUCAUUUGUCAGCUGCAACAAUCAUUGUUUGGCUAAUAUGAAAUCAGCCGUGUUGGUACUCUUUACUAUCUACCAAAAUUGCUUCUGUAGCCUAUCUCCUUUGAAAUUCCUUGACCAGUUUGCAUAUAUGUGCCCUGCGCACAUUCUAUACUCAGCAUGUGGUAUCAAUUUAGCCAAUGCAGGAAUAAGUCCCUACGAAAAUUCAAACCAAUAAAUACAAGUCAGGAAAAAUAUGCAAAUGAUUAAUAUUAAAAGGUAGUGAAUUAACUGACAAUGAAAUUACCUUCUGUUGGUCGCUCAUGAAUGCCCAUCCUCCCCUAUUGGUUAUCUCAAGGUCAGCUAUUAAAUUUUUGAGAAACCGGGACCAAAUAUCCUUGUUCUCUAUUUUCACCACCGCCCAAGCUAUUAGAAACAUUUGAUUAUUGGCAUUUCUCCCCAUAACAGCCAACAACUCCCCCUUACACAAACCCUUUAGAAAGCAUCCAUCCAAUCCUAUAACUCUUCUACAACCAACCAAGAAGCCCCGUUUGUAUGCAUCAAAAUAUACAUAAAAUCUAUCAAUCUAGGCCAAAGAUUAGGGAGUGGCCUCUCCACAACCUCUACAUACACUCUACUAGAUGGGCUUUGAAACAUGCAUUCGCCAGCAUAGUCCUAUACCUACACAUAUUCUUCCUUAUACCCACCCAUCAGUAUUUUCAUCACCCUCAUCUUAGCUCUCUUGCAUUGAUUCCUUGACAUAUUAAUCCCUACUUGUCCCUUCACUAAUUGUUGAAAUUGAGGACUCUUGAUCCCGGGUAUUACUUUGAUAGUGUUGAAAAAAUGCUUUGAUAACUACACACUCAUUACCCUUUUAUUGUUAAAAAUAAUUGGACAAGUAUGCUCCUCCUACAAGGACCUAAUUUGGAAUGACUUAUUCUUACUCAAUGCGCCAAAGAGCUUCCAUGGACAAUUGGAUUGUGAGCACUUAACUCUCACAAAUUCCUUCGUGCUUCUAAUGAAUUUAACAAUCCUCUGUUCACCAAUGAAGUUCUUCACAAUAACUUCCUUGAACUAUUUGGUAUCGUUAAAUCUCAUGUCCACAGACAAAAUAUGUUUAUCAAUAGUCGGAUUAUAGUAAGGGUACUUACUUUUUCUUCGACAAAUAGGUUCUUCAUCAUCAUUGUCAAGCUCAUUCUCCGAACUAGCAACUUCAUCGCCGCAACUUUCUUUAUCUUCACUUCUAUUACCUUCAGUUGGAACUCCAACCCCAUUUACUGGUUUGGCCAUUUUUGCUGAAGGUGCAAGUUUUUUUUCUCAAAAAUUCCCUUUACUUUUGUCUUGAUUGUGCGAGUUCAUCAUCAUCUUCGUCACUUGGGAAAUUUACUGAAGCAAAAUAUUCAUCUUCCGAUUCACUGAAUAAAACAAUUUCCCAUUCUAAUCCAAUGAAGUCCUCAUCGCUCAAAUCUUUACCCAAGCUUUCAGGACAUGUCACUGUUUGUUCAUAUCUAUCAAUGUGAGUUCUCUCCUUUUCAUCUCUUUCAUUCCCGACCUGAUUACUCGCUUGAAUAGGAUCUCUUACUUCUCCUCUUUCAUUGGUGGUCUACUCAUCCCCAUCCUCAUCCUCAUCCUCACCAUCCUUAUCAUCAUCCUCAUCCUCAUCCUCACCAUCAUUAUAAUACUCAACAUAUACCUUAACUUAUUUGCCGUGAAGAUAAUGGCAAAUGAUAUCCUUAAUACCAUUAUCAUCAUUAAAGAAUCUUAAGCCAUCUUUCAAUUUCUUCCAAGGAGCACAGUAAUGUAGUUUUUGCACUUUGCAUCGUAAAAAAUACACCAAAUCUCUCUGAAAAUCAAUAUAUGAUGGCUUCCGAACAUUGAAAUAAAUAGUACAUUCAUUUCCACCAGUAUAUUCACAAUCAUUGGUGCCAAUAAGAAACUCUAUACCAUAGCAAACAAUGAUACCUACUUGAUUCGCGUCAAUGUCGAUGCUGCACCCACUGAAAAAUAAAAUAAAAUAAAUGUCAUUACUUGUUGGGACCACAUGACAUAAUCAGCAACUUCACAUGGAAGUCAUUGUCAUUUUGUUAUCAAGAAAUAAAUGUAACUAAUCUCCCAAAUUCAGUACUUUUACAGAAACAAAAGAAACUGAAUUGAAUAAACAAAGUGAGGUUCAACCAUCCAUUUUUCAAUUCAAUCACAUUCAGUCCCCCAUAGAAGCAGUCUAAUUAAUUAAAUAAAUUCGGUCCCACCACUGUUUCCCCCCGAGUCAAGCCCCAUUUUUCCCUUUGCGCCAUAUUUUUCUAUUCGAUCCCCACAAAAGAAAGGGAACGGACGAUGAAACUCUCAAAUUUUCUAUUCGGUUCCCAUGACUUUCCCCACAACUUUCCCUCCUGAGCUAAGCCCUCAAUUUGUCUUUCACGCCCUAACUUGCUCGUCGGAACCCUAAAUUUUUCACUAAAUUGAUCUACGUAGAAAACAUGACAAACCUGAGUGAGUGAGAGUUGAGGACGCAACCAAUGAACGAAUGUGAACGAUGGCGCAAUUAUAGCAGUGGCCGAGCGAUGGCGGGCGAGCAAUGGCAAGCGAGUGAACGACGGUGGGUCAGCAAGCUACGGCCGGCGGCAUCGAACGAGAACCCUAUAUGAACACCGCUUUUGGCCCACGUCAUUUUUUAUUGUAUUGAAUACACUAUGCGACGAUUGUUUUCUAGGUAAUCCACGUGGAAAGGUAAAACGACGUCGUUUUAUGCCAUCCACCGUGGACAAUAUUAAGAGUUAUUGAUUUUUUUUUAAAUAUAAAUGCUACGUAAUCAUUUUGGCCAGAAUUUUUCGCAGGUGACAUCAAAGUGAUCGUUUUUUCUCCGAUUUGGCACUUAAGUAAUCCGGUCGAAACUUUUGGCACCAAAGUGAGCACUCUACACAACUUAUGGCACAAUUAGUGUACUUAUCCCAAGAAAGAACAGAGUCGACGCAAGCAAUGAGAGAUGGAGAGAGCAAGAAAGACGAAGGGGAACUGAAGGUUUUUUCUGGCCCAAAGAAUAGAACCGACGUAGGUGGAGAGAGAUGGAGAGAGGGUUUGGAAAGAAAAAGGCUCAAGGAAGAGAUUAGAAUCUUACACGUGUACCGGUCAACUGUUACGUGUCAUUUAACUUAAUAAUUUGAUAGUAAAAUUUAAUGAAAACUAAUAUAGGGUAAAUUUGUCACAAGUAUACCGAUUUGGAGUUUUUGAUAGUAAAAAAAAUAGUAUGUGAUAAAUUUAUCACAGGUGUACCAGUUUUAUAUUUUUAGGGUAUUAAUUCAUUACAUUAAUAUCGUUGGUUACAAACAAAAUUUCUUAUUUAAUAUAACAACGAUAAUAUAUAAAAUUUUAACUGGUAUUGAGUUUCUACAAUUUACAUUAUCAUAUGAUGCAAGUUAAGCAUUCGAAUUUUGUUUAGUUUUAAAAAAGCAAGAUUGGCAUGAAUUAAGUAAUAAUUUGACAAAUUGGUUUAUAUUAAAAUACACAUUCCAAUUUUGCACUACAAGUCCUUGUGAUAUAUAGGUAUGUUAUUAGUGUGCAAAAACUCAUGCCUUGUGUUCAAGAAUUUACUUGAGUGUGUGAAAUGAUUAGUGUGACAUGCAACAUGCUACAAACUUAACAAAAACAUAUAAUCACAAUGGCCUUUUAGUGAAAAUUUAAUUUUUAAAUGAAAAGUACAAAAUGCCAAUGUUGGAUGAAAAAAAGUGAACCUUUUACAAUUUUUUUAUCUUUUAAUAUUUUAUAUUAUAAAACUUGUUGUCAUUAUAUAUUGCUGUUGAUUAAUCACAUAAUGUAAAGUAAAAAUGCAAAUUUCACGACAUAAAUAUCCAAUAAGUGCUAAUGUCGUGAAAGAUUGGGUUGCACGUGCCCAUAAAAUAAAAAAAACUUCUAGAAAAUUGGUUUGUUUUCCCAUCCCAGGCCCUUUGGGCUUUCCUUUGCAAUAAUGGCCCUAUUUUGGGCUUUGUUGGCUAAGCCUAGCUUUAGGAGACAAUUAAAAGUAUCUUUAUUCUUGGAGGGGGGAGAAAGAGAGAGACUUUUAGCCAUGAAUAAAGAAAUAACAGUCGACGCAGGUAGUGAGAGAUGGAGAGAGCAGGAAAGACGAGGGGGAACUGAAGGUUUUUUUUGGCCCAAAGAAUAGAACCAACGCAGGUGGAGAGAGAUGGAGAGAGGGUUUGGAGAGAGAAAGGCUCAAGGAAGAGACUAGAAUCCUACACGUGUACCAAUCAUCUAUUACACGUCAUUUAACUUAAUAAUUUGAUAGUAAAAUUUAACAAAAAUUAACAGAGAGUAAAUUUGUCACAGGUGUACUAGUUUGGAGUUUUUGGUAGUUAAAAAAAUAGCAUGGGGUAAAUUUAUUACAUGUGUACCAAUUUGAGAUUUUUUAGGGUAUUAACCAAUUACAUUAAUAUAGUUGGUUACAAACAAAAUUUCUUAUUUAAUAUAACAAUGAUAAUAUAUAAUUGGUAUUGAGUUUCUACAAUUUACAUUAAUAUUUGAUGCAGGUUAAACGUUCUAACUUUAUUUUGUUUUAAAAAAAAAAGAUUCAUGUGAAUUAAGUAAUAAUUUGACAAAUUGAUUUAUGUUAAAAUACAUCUUCCAAUUUUGCACUACACAUCCUUGCGAUAUACUGGUAUGUUAUUAGUGUAAAAAAACUCAUGCCUCAUGUUCAAGAAUUCACUCGAGUGUGUGAAAUGAUUAGCGUAACAUGCAACACACUACAAACUUAACAAAAACAUAAAAUCAUGAUGGCCUUUUAGUGAAAAUUUAAUUUUUGAAUAAAAAGUACAAAAUGCCAAUGUUGGAUGAAAAAAAGUGAAUCUUUUACAAUUUUUUUUAUCAUUUAAUAUUUUAUAUUAUAAAACUUGUUGUCAUUACAUAUUAUUGUUGAUUAAUCACACAAUAUAAAGUAAAAAUACAAAUUGCACAAUAUAAAUGUCCACGAGUACUAAUGUUGUGGAAGAUUGGGUUGCACAUGCCCAUAGAAGAAAAAAACUUCUGGAAAUUGGCUUGUUUCCCCACCCCAGGCUCUUUAGGUUCUUCUCUGCAAUGAUGGUCCUGUUUUGGGCUUUGCUGACUUAGCCCGGCUUUAGGAGAUAACUAAAAGUAUCUUUGUUCAUGGAGGGGGGCAAAGAGAGAGAGACUUUUGGCCAUGGAUGGAGAAGGAACACAAUCGAUGUAGGCAGUGAGAGAUGGAGAGAGCGAGAAAGACAAAGGGGAACUGAAGGUUUUUUCUGGCCCAAAGAACAGAUCCAACGCAGGUAGAGAGAGAUGGAGAGAGGGUUUGGAGAGAGAAAGGCUUAAGGAAGAGACCAAAAUUUUACACGUGUAUCGGUCGACUAUUACGUGAUUUGAUAGUAAAAUUUAACAAAAACUAACAGAUGGUAAAUUUGUUACAGGUGUGCCAGUUUGGAGUUUUUGGUAUUAAGAAAAAUAAUAUAGGGUAAAUUUAUCACAUGUGUACCAGUUUAGGAUUUUUUGGGGUAUUAAUUAAUUACAUUAAUAUGGUUGGUUACAAACAAAAUUUCUUAUUAAUAUAACAAUGAUAAUAAAUAAAAUUCUAAUUGGUAUUGAGUUUUUACAAUUUACAUUAGGGUCAAUACUCUGAAAAAUCCCAAACUAGUACACCUGUGACAAAUUUACCCCAAACUAUUUUUUUGACCACCAAAAACCCAAAACUGGUAUAUCUUUGGCAAAUUUACCUCAAACUGAUACACUUGUGACAAAUUUACUCUGUUAGUUUUUAUUAAAUUUUAUUGUCAAAUUAUUAAGUUAAAUGACAUGUGACAGUUGAUUGAUAUACUAAUUUGGAAUUUUACACUUCGUUUUUCAUAGUUUACAAUUUUUGUGAUUUUUUUUGUAUUAAUCCAAUUUAACGGAGGGUAUAUUUGUCAUAAAUUUACCAAUUUAGAGUUUUUUGUGGUCGAAUAAAUUAGUUUGGGGCAAAUUUGUCAUUAAUGUAACAGUUUAGGGUUUUUUUUUUAUGGUUAGUUAGGGUAAAUUUGUCAUGCGUGUUCCAAUUUGAAGUUUUCAUGGUCGAAAAAAUAGUUUGGAGUAAAUUUGCCACAUGUGUACUAAUUUGAGAUUUUUUCAGGGUAUUAACCCUUUACAUUAUCAUAUGAUGCAAGUUAAGCAUUUGAACUUUGUUUUGUUUUAAAAAAGCAAGAUUCACAUGAAUUAAGUAAUAAUUUGAUAAAUUGGUUUAUAUUAAAAUACACCUUCCAAUUUUGCAUUACACGUCCUUGCGAUCUAUCGGUAUAUUAUUAGUGUACAAAAACUCAUACUUUAUUUUCAAGAAUUCACUCGAGUGUGUGAAAUGAUUAGCGUGAUAUGCAACACGCCACAAACUUAACAAACACAUAUAAUGAUAAUGGCAUUUUAGUGAAAAAUUAAUUUUUGAAUGAAAAGUACAAAAUGCCAAUGUUGGAUGAAAAAAUGUCAAUCUUUUACAACUUUUUUUUUAUCAUUUAAUAUUUUAUAUUAUAAAACUUGUUGUCAUUACAUAUUGUUGUUGAUUAAUCACACAAUGUAAAGUAAAAAUACAAAUUGCACAACAUAAAUGUCUAAGGAGUGCUAAUGUUGGGGAAGAUUGGGCUGUAUGUGCCCAUAGAAGAAAAUAACUUCUAGAAAAUUGGUUUGUUUUCUCACCCCAGGCCCUUUGGGCUUUCCUAUUCAAUAAUGGCCCUAUUUUGGGCUUUGUUGGCUAAGCCUAGCUUUAGGAGACAACUAAAAGUAUCUUUGUUCUUGGAGAGAGAGAGAGAGAGAGAGAGAGAGAGAGACUUUUGGCCAUGGAUGGAGAAAUAACAUAAUCGACAUAGGUAGUGAGAGAUGGAGAGAGAGAGAGAGAGACAAAGGGGAACUAAAGGUUUUUUCUGGCCCAAAUAACAGAACUGACACAUGUGAAGAGAUGGAGAGAGGGUUUGAAGAGAAAAAAGCUCAAGUAAGAGACUAGAAUCCUACACGUGUAUUGAUCAACUGUUAUGUGUCAUUUAAUUUAAUAAUUUGAUAGUAAAAUUUAACGAAAUCUAACAGAAAGUAAAUUUGUCACAAGCGUACCGGUUUGAUUUUUUUGGUAGUUAAAAAAAUUGUAGGGGUAAAUUUAUCACAGGUGUACAAGUGUGGGAUUUUUCAAGGUAUUAACCCAUUACAAACAAAAUUUCUUAUUGAAUAUAAUAAUGAUAUUAUAUAAAAUUCUAAUUGGUAUUGAGUUUUUACAAUUUACAUUAUCAUAUGAUGCAAGUUAAGCAUUCAAACUUUGUUUUGUUUUAAAAAAGCAAGAUUGGCAUGAAUUAAGUAAUAAUUUGACAAAUUGGUUUAUAUUAAAAUACACCUUCCAAUUUUGCAUUACACGUCCUUGUGAUAUACUGGUAUGUUAUGUUCAAGAAUUCACUCGAGUGUGUGAAAUGAUUAGCAUGACAUGCAACACGCUAUAAAUUUAACAAAAACAUAUAAUCAUAAUGGUCUUAUAGUGAAAAUUUAAUUUUUGAAUGAAAAGUACAAAAUGCCAAUGUUGGAUGAAAAAAAGUCAUUCUUUUACAAUUUUUUUUAUCAUUUAAUAUUUUACAUUAUAAAACUUGUUGUUAUUAUAUAUUACUGUUAAUUAAUCACAAAAUAUAAAGUAAAAAUACAAAUUGCACAAUAUAAAUAUCCGAUGAGUGCUAAUGUUGUGGAAGAUUGGGCUGCACGUGCCCAUAAAAGAAAAGAACUUAUGGAAAAUUGGCUUGUUUUCCCACCUAAGGCCCUUUGGGCUCUCCUCUGUAAUGAUGGCCUUGUUUUGGGCUUUGCUGGCUCCGCACAGUUUUAGGAGACAACUAAAAAUAUCUUUGUUCAUGGAUUGGGGGGGGGGGAGAGAGAGAGAGAGAGACUUUUGGCCAUGGAUGGAGAAAGAACAGACUCAACGCAGGCAGUGAGAGAUGAAGAGAGCGAGAAAGGUUUCUUAUUUAAUAUAACAACGAUAAUAAGUAAAAUUCUAAUUGAUAUUGCUUUUUAAAAAUUUACAUUAUCAUAUGAUGCAAGUUAAGCAUUCAAACUUUGUUUUGUUAAAAAAAAAAAAAAACAAGAUUCACAAGAAUUAAGUAAUAAUUUGACAAAUUGGUUUAUAUUAAAAUACACCUACAAAAACUCAUACCUUAUGUUCAAGAAUUCACUCGAGUGUGUGAAAUGAUUAGCGUGACAUGUAACACACUAUAAACUUAACAAAAACAUAUAAUCAUAAUAGGCUUAUAGUGAAAAUUUAAUUUUUGAAUGAAAAAUACAAAAUGCCAAUGUUGGAUGAAAAAAGUGAAUCUUUUACAAAUUUUUUAUCAUUUAAUAUUUUAUAUUAUAAAACUUAUUGUCAUUACAUAUUGCCGUUGAUUAAUUACACAAUGUAAAAUAAAAAUAUAAAUUGCACAACAUAAAUGUCCAAAGAAUGCUAAUGUUGUGGCAAAUUAGGCUGCACGUGCCCAUAUAAGAAAAAAACUUCUAGAAAAUUGAUUUGUUUCCCCACCCCAGGUCCUUUGGGCUCUCCUCUACAACGAUUGCCCUGUUUUGGGCUCUGUUGGCUACACCCAGCUUUAGGAGAUAAAAAUACAAAUUGCACAACAUAAAUGUCCAAAGAGUACUAUUGUUUUGGCAGAUUAGGUUGCAUGUGCCCAUAGAAGAAAAAAACUUCUGGAAAAUUGACUUGUUUCCCCACCCUAGGCCCUUUGGGCUCUCCUCUGCAAUGAUUGCCCUGUUUUGGGCCCUGCUGGUUACGCCUAGCUUUAGGAGAUAACUAAGGCUGCGUAUGGUAACUUUCCCCAGCCCAACAAUUUCUAUUCUUUUGUUCCCUGGAACAAAAAAAGAAUAGAAACCCGUUUGAUAACGAUAGGUUAGUUUUUUGUUCCCGGGAGUAGAAAAUUAGCCUGGGAAUGGUUUUGGAACAAAAACGAGAAGUAAAAAAAAGUUACUUCUCAUUCUCGGCCAAGAAUUCCCAGGAACAAAAAGAAGAAACAAAUUGGGCAACCCUAAUUUCACUUUCGCGAUUUCCAUUUUCACCUUUUCCCUUCGUCCGCUUGCCUCUCUCUGAUCUCAUCUCCAGUCGCCUCUCUUCGGUCUCGUCGCCGCCGAUCUUGUCGCCGCCGGUCCUGUCGUCGCUGGUCCUGUCGUCAGUGGUCUCGUACUUCGGUUGGGUCGCCUCUCUCCGAGCCGGUUGCGUCCAGUCCCGUCGCCUCCGCCUCUCUUCGGUGUCGUCAAUCUCGUCCUCUCUGGUCGCAGCGCGACACUCCGGUUGGGUCGCCUCUCUUCGAGCCGGUUGCGUCCAGUCCCGUCGCCUUCGCCUCUCUUCGGUGCCGUUAAUCCCGUCGUCUCUGGUCGCGACGCAACACUUCAGUUGGGUCGCCUCUCUUCGAGCCAGUUGCGUUCAGUCUCGUCGCGUCCGCCUCUCUUCGGUGCCGUCAAUCCCUUCGUCUCUAGUCGCAAUGCAACACUCCAGUUGGGUCGCCUCUCUCCGAGCCGGUUGCGUCCAGUCCUAUCGCCUCCGCAGGAUCUGAUAUAAGAAUGCUGCGUUCUCUCUCCCAGGGUGAAAAACAAAGAACCCUUCUUUGCAAUUUGCAGAAAGAGAGGUACCGUUCGGGGAUCCCCAUUUCUUGUGAGGUUUUCUUGUGAUGUCAUGAGCCUGUUCAUGGCUUUGUCGGGGCAGGAAUUUUUUUUUUUUGGUGUGAUUGGUUCCGACCUUUGUUGAGAUGGUCUCUGUUUAUAUUGAAGGAGUGAUUGUAAUUGUAUAUCAGGUUGCGUUGUUGAGGGCUGUGAUUGGUUUGAAUGAAUUCAAAGCCCUUAAUUUUUUUUAGCUCGUCUGCGGUGUUAUUUUUUUGUCUAAUUUUCUUGGGUUGAUGGUGCAAUGUUUUUUGGGUUUUGACUGAUCGAGGGUCUGCUAUUUUUCAAUGUGUAAAAAUGUAGUGCAGGCGGGCGGAUUAAUGAUGAGGAUCUAUACGACAUCACCUUCACUUCUGUUGGAUUAUAUUGUAUCAAUUAGCAGAGAAGUUAAUUUGAUUUGGUCAAUUAUUGAAGACAUAGCAUUGAGUUAGAUAUGUCAGAGCUGCCUCGAUUACAACCUAUUUGCUCACAUCUCUAAUGAUAAAGUGUUUUGUGUGUGUGUGUAUUUUUUUUUCUUUUUGGUGGGGCGGGGAGGGUGAGCUAUUGUGAAAUCCUUACACUAAGUGGUGUGAUUUGCAUUGGUGGUUCUGCAUACUUCCGAGACUUCAGUAUCAUAUAUCAUAUGACUGUUCACUAUAAGAAAGGCUAGAGCUGAGAGUUGUAGAAUUUUGAGUGGACUUGUGCUUAUCUUUUGUCAGAUUUGCUAAUAAUUUGUUCUCGAGUCGGUUGGUCAUAUAUGGUUUGUUGCUUUGAUUACUUCUCAUUGUACAUUUUCUAGUUUUUCUGAAGUUGAAUCUGCCACUUGCAAUGCCAUCGCCUCCGAUUGCCUCUCUCCAAUCCCACUGCCUGCAAUCCCGUCGCCUCUGGUCAAGUUUCUUCGGCUCGCAUUGCCUUUGGUCGCAUCGCCUCGUGGUCGUCUUGCCCUAAAUCAGGUUUGUUGCUUUAAUUCUUUUUCAUUGUACCUGUUUUAGUGGUGAUUCUGCUAUUUUUCUGAACUUGAAUCGUGUCGCCUCUGUCGCGUUGCCUUUGUUUGUGCUCGCUUCUCUCACGUUGCUUCCCUCGUGCUUGUGUCACCCUUGAUCAAUGGAGGGAGAGUGGAUACCUGGACCUAAUGGUUCGGGAUAUGCAUGUUAAAUGAAGGAAAGCUUUAUUUCUUGGAUGUAGAUAAGCAUGUUGCGCCUUAUGCACAUAUAUUUACUGAAUUUUAUGGUUGAUUUAGAUUGAAUAAGGCAUAUGCGAUCUGUCUCUCUUUCUUUCGAUAUGAUGCUCGGUCUUUCUGUAUUUUCCCCUAUCAAUUGCAUACCUGAAACUCUGUUGUAAUUUGUCAAUGCUGCUGAAGUAUUGAUUACUAGAACAAUAUGUUCAGUUUAUUAUUUUUAUAUGCCUGAUUCUAGUUGUCAUUGAUGCUUAUGUGAAGCUUUAUGUACUUCAUCAAACUUUUUGUGGCAAUUUUCUGAUCAAGAAAUAUCUCAUAGAUUCAAAGUUAUAUCUAUCCGAUUCGUUCAUGAACUAGCAAGGGAUGCCCAACCUUACAAAACUAUAAAGCAAAGGGGAUGAACGCUUAUAAAUGAGAGCACCUUAAUGAGGAUGCCGCCUUAUGUGCUGAUAAUUGCUUUGAUUUUUGAUUUAACUGCAAGUUUGCAAUGCUCAUUGUCUUUCUUGUUGGAGUAUAUCAUGUAGGAAUUAGAAAGUAUUUAUGAGAUUCUUUUUCCUAACUUCUAGUCUCGCAUCAAGUAGGAAAGCAAAGAGGUAGUUAGUCUGUUAUAUGUAGACAACCUUCUGCUCAUCAGUGUAAUCAUAUUUUCGUUAAUUUGAAGCUCAUUCCCAGUUGAUUCCUUUCUUGUACCUGAUCCUUCGUUAUUGUUGUUAGUAAUGAGUAAAGUGAAUCACUGCUGUAAUUUGUUGUUAUCAUGUGUAAUUAGUUUGCCUAUUAAAGCUUAUUUUUGUAUCACUUCCGUCCUUACUAAUGGCUUUGUGGUUCAAUUAUAUGGUCCUUUUUUGUUUGAAUCUUGGUUAUGAGUCUAGAGAUAUUGGUUGUCUUUUGCUGUGAUGUUGUAUUAAGCUUUCCUUGCUUGUCCUUCUCUUUAAUUGUGUUUUCGUAUGGUGAGGAUUCAAGUAAUACAGAAAGUUGGUUAUCUUGAUAUGAUGUUGUUGGUACAAACAAAUGAUUUAGUCAUGCUUGGUGAGGAACUGAUUUUUUGCUGGAUGUUAUGUUUAGAGUCAUGGAUUGAGCUUAGGAUUCGACUUUAGAUUCACACAAUAUGCUUAGAUCUAGUGAUUGAUGAUGUUAGUGGAUGAUUUUUUGUGGAUUGACGAUUAAUGAUCAUGAACUUAAGGUUGAUUGAGCUUGAUUUGUAUUACUCUGCAAUUUCGUAUCUUUGUGAUGGACUUACUGUUUUGGCUGAAACGAAGUGUGAAAUGAAUUUUUUUGACCUCGAGCCCUUCUAGACAUAAAAAAUACACUUCUAAAGCUUCGAUUUGAUAUGUUGUAUCCCCAUAAUGGAUGUCGUUUGGUUGCUGAAAAACACAUUUGAAAUCUGUCAAUUCUGCAGUAGUUUCAGCUUGAUUUGUGUUUACUGAUCUUGCUGUUUUCCUAUUUUGUUAGUUAUGUUUUGCUGAUUUUGUUGGUUCUUUGUUUACUGAUCUUGCUGUUUUCCUGUUUUGCUAGUUCUGUUUUGCUGUUUGAGAAUUCAAACAUUGCACUGAAUAGCUACUCAAUGUUUGUGCAUUGAAUAACUAUCCAAUGUUUGGAGCUAUAAAAACAUUUUGAUGCUUGUAUCUUUCUUUAGUCUAAAAGAUGGUGAUGAAAAAAGAAGGCAGCAUCAUCUUGCACUUUCUUUUUAAUUGUCUUGAACUCAUAUGAUGUUCAACUAGUGAAGGUUACAUGGCAUUCCAAAAAGAGGCAUUCAUCGCAAAGUGGACUGAGCCUAUAACGAACUUGUUCGUUAGUUUGUUGGUAGAAGAGGUCAAAAAAGAAAAUCGCACAUCUUCUACUUUCAAUAAAGCAAGGUGGAAUAACAUACAGAUAUAAUUCAACAAACGAGCAGAACUUCAAUAUACUGCAGUACAGUUGAAAAAUAAAGUGAACAAAUUGAAAAAGCAGUAUGCUAGUUUCAAGAAACUUCUUUCACAAUCCGGAUUUGGCUGGGAUAAUGUGAACAAAAAAGUUGUUGUUGAUGAUCCGAGCAUAUGGGAAUGUCAUAUCAAGGUAUGAUUUAACUUUUGAUCAUUUUCAUAGCACUAUAUAUGUACAUCAAAUAUGUUUAAUUGCAUUGCUGAUAUAUGUCAUCAUUGUGAAAAUUGCAGGAUAAUACUGAGUGGGUGAAAUUCAAGAAGACGGGUUUCUUCAAUAUCCUGAUUUGUGUAUUGUAUUUGGUGAUACAUAUGCUACUAGGGACUAUGCAGCAGGAAAUGUCGAAGAUUUGGUGAUGUUAGAUGAACUUAACAUUGGUGGUGGUGAUGAUGCAGACGAUGGACCAGAGGACUUUGGUGCACAGCAUGUUAAUGAGGAAGAUGUUAUGUCUGACAAAACUCCUACUCCAGUUCAUGACAAACAUAGAAUGGAUAAAACCCCAAAUACUAAGAGGAGAAGGAAGAGUCAAUCAUUUGAUGUUGCUAACACCUGCAAAGCCUUGCAAGAUAUGAUCAAAAGUAGGGUUAAUCAAUUUGUGAGUGGUUUUGUCAGCUCACAAGUGACAUCACCACCUACAGACCCAUUCUCCAUAUCUGUGGUGAUUGAUACCCUACUUGCCAUGCCUAUGUUGGACCUAGAUCUCUAUAGCAAAGUAGUGGAGCGAGCUUGCGAUAAUGUCACGUAGAGGGAGGCUUUUAUUAAAACCCCAACUGAAUUGAGAUAUAGACUUCUCCAACGUCUUUAGUGGAUGUUAGGAAAUGUCUCAUGGAUUGCAUGGAAUUUUAUCAAACUAUGUUUUUUUAUGUUUUUGGUUGUUAUUUUGUUGAGACUUUUGCAUCUGUGUUGUGGUUUGGAUAUGAUGGAUUGUGCUGAAUUUUUAUAUAUGGUUUGCCUUUUCACUCUAUUACUUACGUUAUUGGUUUCUAUAUUUUUAUUUUUAUUUUUACAUAUAUCUAUAUUGAUUUUCUUAUAUUUGUGUAAUGUCAUAGGUAUUAUGAAAGAUGAAUCAAAUAGUGUGUCUAAUGAAGAGGUAGCAGUAGUUGAAUGGUAUUUGGAUGACUUUGAUAUUGACAUAAUAAUAGCAUGGUUAACUCUUGUUAAUUUGGACAUGUCUUUGCAUACGAAAGAGCCUAUUAGGGACAGUAAAUUAUCAUGAGCCGAAUGGAUAAAAGAAAUUGUUUAUGGACAUUCAGAUAGGAUAUAUGAAGCAUUCAGGUUAAAAAGACAUGUUUUUCUUAACCUAUGUGAUCUAAUGAAGGCAAGAGGCUGGCUGAAAGAUACUUGAUACGUACAGGUUGAUGAACAAGUUGGGAUUUUUUUAUCUAUGGUUGGUCACAAAAACACAAAUAGAGAUUUAUGUGAGAGAUUUUAACGUUCGGGACAAACAAUCAGUAAGUUCUUCACUCUGGUAUUAAAAGCGUUUCUCAAAUUAUCAAAAGAGAUUAUCAGGCCGCCUUGUUUUGACAUUGUUCCAGAGGAGAUUCUUAUCGAUCCUAACCAUGCACGUUACUUCAAGGUAUGAUUUAAUAUCAAUUUUACAUUAUUAAAAAAUAUAUAUAGUUGAUAAUAUUGUCUAACGCUAUAAUUUCAUAAAAUCACAGGGCUGCGUUGGUGCUAUUGAUGGCACCCACAUUAAUGCAUCCGUCCCUAUAUCAAAAUAAAUCCCAUUUAGAGACAGAAAAGGGACAACCACUCAAAAUGUGAUGUGUGCUUGUUCAUUUGAUAUGAAAUUUACUUUCGUAUAUGCUAGGUGGAAAGGAUCUGCCAAUGAUUGUCGGGUUCUCUCGGCAGCACUUGAGACUCCUCGAUUACAAUUUCCUCGACCACCACCAGGUAUUUGUUUUGUCUAUAUUAAGUGAUUUUCUUUAUGAUCGUAUAUAUAUUGCAUAUCAUAACAAAUUUAUGUAUAUAUUCUUAUAGGGAAAUACUAUGUAGUAGAUUCUGGUUAUGCAUCACUUCAAGGAUUUUUAACUCCAUUUAAAGAUGAACGGUAUCAUUUGAAUGAGUAUAGGGGUAGAACGAGACGGCCCAGAACAGCAAAAGAAUUGUUCAACCAUAAGCAUUCUUCAUUGAGAAAUGUUAUCGAGAGGUCAUUUGGGGCAAUAAAAAAUCGCUUCUCCAUUUUGAGACACAUGCCUCCAUUUUCAAUUCGAAAGCAAGCAUAUAUUAUAAUCGCAUGUUGUACUCUUCAUAAUUAUAUUCGCGACCAAGACAAGAUGGACAUGAACUUUGCCAUUUAUGGAGAUCCGGAUUAUCCACUUGGAUCUACAGAAGAAGAGGUUGUAGAUGAUGCAUCACAUGAUGAGGCGGCUGAGAUAAACAUGAUCAGGAAAAAUAUUGCAAAUAUGAUGGCAAGGAAUAACAAUAUGCAAGAAAUUCCAUGACUUUUUAUUUCCGACUUUUGUGACGUGUUUUUUUUUUUUUUUGGUGAAAACUUUUGCAAUGUGUUUGUAAACUAUUAUGAAUACAUUUCUAUUAAUAGUAUUAAGGUUAUCCAAUUCUAUCUCCACGAGCAUAAAUGCCAUUGAAUGUAUCAUAAAUAUGAACAAAUAGAAGAGAAGCAAAUGGUAAGCUAUUGUAUAGUUGACAUCAAGGUAAUUCGGAAGAAGCAAGGUAAAAAUUAACAUCGAGAUGGAAUGCAUCGACGGUUCAAAAUGCAAGAGACCGAGGUUUUUACUAAGUGUUUUAGGAGUAUACUAUGAACUAAAUGCAUAAUGACAAUAAAGCCACACCAUGCAUGCACCAUUCCAACAGUUGAAAAUUUCCAACCCCAACCCGACAUCUAUGUCAAGAUUAGAAGAGACUAAAAUCCCUAAGCCACGCAUGCACUAGAAUUACAAUUUUAUUUUUUUAAAGAGUAAAAACUUAGUCCCAAGGAAAUGAGCAUAAAUUAAUUUGGCUGACAAUAUCACGUGUGCUUUUUUUGCAAUAUUUGCUAUACCAAACAUUAAAAUUCGCAAAAAGAAAAUAUAUUAUUGAGAAUUAUAGUUCAAAACAUUAGUUUGUGAAAAGUGAUUCCCACAAAGUGCUACAUAAAUUCAAUAUGCUAUAAAACAUAUGUAAAGAUCCUCACACAUAGAUAUAAAAUAAUAGCUCACGUUCCAUUACAAUACCACCUAUGUUACAAGCAUAUUCGACUACAAUGCUUACACCUAAUCAAAUGUAUUAUUAAUCUAGUAAUAUUUUGAUCUUGCCAAUUUUUAUGUAAUAUCUAAUUUAUUCAUUUUUCUUAUUUUUAAUUUUUUUAAAAAUAAAAUUUGGAAUAGAAAUUUUAUGCAGUUACCAAACGUGUUUCUGUUAUUUUUCUAUUCCAGAAAUAGAAAUUUUGUACAGUUAUCAAACGUGUUUCCGUUAUUUUUUUUGUUCAAGAAAUAGAAAUUUUGUAGAGUUAUAAAACGGGUUUUUUUGCUCAGAAAUUGUUCACCAAAAUAGAAAUAGAAAAGAACUGUUUCUGCCCCCCCCCCCCCCCCCCGCGCAAGCCAAAUAUAUAUGCAUUAGUGCCACAUUAUCGAAUUGAAAUUUUUAAAGCACAACCUCUUGUCAUUACAUAUUGUUGUUCUUGGGUUCGAAAAUGUUUUUUAAGUUUUAAAAAACUGUUGUCUUGAACGGAGGAAAUUAUUGCAUUAAUUUAGUAAUGUAUUGAACUGAAUAUAAAAAGUUAAAUACUGCAAAAUUCACGAGCCACUUAUCAUCUUUGUUAAUUCAAAUUCAAUCUAAUAUAUACAAUAUGUUUAUAAAUUUGAAUGCGUAUGUACAUACAUAUGUUUUGUUUCAUAAAACUAUUGUAGGAAAUGAAGUUUGAUAUUUCUUUUAUGUCAAAUAAUAGGCACCGAUUGUUUUAUAAAAUUUUGAGUGGCAUGAAUAAAUAAAGAAAUCUCAAGAAACGCAUGUAUUUUAUGUUCAUGCUUCUUUUUAUAUCAGAAUUUCUGUCUAGCUACAAGUUGGCAUGAUAUUUCCAUAUUGAAGGCAUGCUUUACUCUUACUUCUACAUACCCAAAAAAGUUGGAUUCCUCUUUGUUGUAAUUAAGUUGAUGAUGAGCGUCCCUUAAUUUUCUGUUUUUCUAGUUGAUUUAGGUUCCGUACACAAUUUCAACCGUAAGGUUCUUUUACAAAGACUAAAUUUUUCAAUACAGGUUGAAACAUAUAGAUAUGCAGAAACAUACGAUCUGUUUGGUAACACUUUUGUAAUGUAGAAUUUCUUUUUAUUUUUAUUUUCUUAUUCUUCUUUACUGCCAUUGCCUAUCGCGGCCUAUCGCCAACCACCGCCAGCCUAUCGCCAACCGCCGCCAGCCACCAACCAUUGCCAUCGCCGAUUGUGGUAGGUUGGUAGGCGGUGAUGGGCAGUGGCCAAUGGUAGACGGGAGGGAGGUGGCAGCGAGCAAAAAAGAAGAAAAGAAAAAAAAAACUUAUUUCUAAAAACUAUUUUCGAGAGCAAAAAUCUAUUUUUUUUUACUUAUUGUUUCUAUUCUAAAUUUAUUCUCUCACCACUUUUUUUAUUUUGGGGAACAAAAAGAUUAAUUAAUGUUAUUAAACAGAUUUAUGUUCUUUUUUUAUUCUAGGAAACAGAAGAACAUAAAUUGAAAUAAACGGAAACGUUACCAAACAAAGUCAUAAAGAUCCCAUCCACUAAUUAUCGAGUCAAAACGAUGUUAGUAUAAUUACACAUGAAAAAUCAUGAGAAAGAGUGGACUUUGAUUCUUAAAAAGGUAACAAUUAAAAUUUGGUAUGUUACGCAUGCCAAUUCCGCACAUAAUGCCUCGAACAAAUAAUUUACACCACCACAAUGUAUCGCGUUCGACUUCAAUUUUUUUUUUUUUUGGUCGAUGUUCGACUUCAAUUGAAGCCGAGCGCUUUUGCGAGUUUUUUGACAAUGCGCAAUUUCAGCAUUUGGUUUACCACUUGCCUCAUGCUGGGGCGAUCACGGGGUGAGUACUCAACACAUUGCAUUGUUAACCUUGUGAUCUUAGGUCCGUCCUCUGAAUACAAUCCCGAGUCCGCUUCCAGGCUUGCAUGCACCAAAGAGCAUUUCGUCUUGUCAUCUGACCCCGCGAUUUUCUCCUCAUACAUCUUAACCCAAUCAUCAAGAAAAGGUCCUUCCGGGUGCUUAUAGGGCCUCUUCGUAAUCAAAUUAAGUAGAAC
rnacentral:lncRNA from 1 species